rnacentral:lncRNA from 1 species
AAGGAGGCCAAGAAGUCCUUUUAGAGCAUUGGCUGGUGGUAGAACUCAUGACGUUAACCAUGAUCGGUUUGAUGAGAUUAAUACCCAUUAUGUUCAACAUGACAGUGUGUGUAUCAUGCCUUUCCCCCUAUAUAUUAUGUAGUACUCUUACUGACUUUGUUGAUUUGGUUUGCUUUGUUUAGACUAGGAGGCCAGGAAGUCCUUUCAGAGCAUGGGCUGGUGGUAAAACUUAUGAUGUUAACCAUGGUUACCUACAAGGAACAAAAUCUGCAUUCUAUUAUCAUGAUUACGGAGCAGACUACAAGUAUGGGAGUACCAACAACUACAAUAGAUUUCCAGAAGAGACGAACACUUCCUAUUACAGCGCCAAUAACUACAGAAGUGUUCCAAGAAAAUCCCAUUUGUACUAUGAUGAGAAGAACUUUUAUAAUGCCCGGGCAGAAUCUCGUAUCUGUUAUGUGAAUGCUAAAGGUUACAACAAUGCACCAAAUGUUAACAGAGGCAAACCAUCAAGACCCUACCAACCUCACUGGAAGAAUACUUUUGAAACCUCUUCAGUGCAAAACAAUAGGUAAAGUGUGAAUCCAUUUCCCCCCUUUUCAGAGAUUCCUAGCUGAAUUCCGCAUUAACGAUGUUGUUGCCUAUUCUUCGUAGGACAUAUUCCAGAUCACAGAAUGAAGAGGGCUGUUCUGAUACAGGCGUGGGAAAGAAUUCACAUCGAACUUUAAGUUUGCAGAAUGAACAAGAGUUUCCAUCGAAGCAAGAAUUCCCCUUUAUAGAAAGAAGGAAAUCGCGACCUGACAUUUUAAGUAAGCUCUUCUCAUCCUCCAUUCGAAUGGCACAUAGUUCUCUGAAACCACAAUCUCGUCCCAGUUUUGGAGUGAAGGCUUUUGCUCCGUCUGGUGAGCAUGGAAAUACUGCUGGUUCUCUUAGCAUGAUAAAAGGCAUGCCUGACCUUGGUUCUCGUUCAUCUCUAUCAACAUCAAAUAGCCAAUAUUCAAAAUCCAGGGACCAAGGAAGUGGUUUGAACAUUGGUGGCCCCACAAAGAACAAUCUUUCUUCAACCAGUCAAGCAACUAGGUCUUAUACUGAAUUCAGUAACGCAGUCUAUCAGCAAAGGUCCGUUCAACAACCACUCCUACUGACGCCGAGCGAAUCUACUCAGAUAUUUCAUCAAAACAUUGCCAGUACCAGCAAAAUUCAAUCUCAUCCACAAAAUACACUGACAAAUCCACCUCCUGGGUCAAACAAGUCUCUAGCACCGUCUGUUAUAAUUGCGCAAAAUGACAAGGCAGAAGCAGUGAGUGGCUCUUGUCCUUGUGGAGAUCAUGCUCUUGAUGUUACAGGAGCAAAGGGCCUUACUCUUGGCACUCCAGCAGUAUUGUCAGGUAUGUAUUUAAUUAUAAAGUUGCAACCAGUAGAGCAGUCCAACCUCCUUUUCGAAAAGAAAAAACGUAGAGCAGUCCAACCAUUUAAAGUUUGUUCUCACUUGGUACAGAAACUUUCAUGCAGUCACGUACUUAACAGGGGGAAAAUGGCAACGAGAUUUGAUUUGAACAAGUUUUAAAUAUUCUAGCAUGAAUUUGAUAACUCAAAUAGUUCAUUCUUUACGAUUUGGAGGUCCAGAAGUGCAUAUGUGCCAAGUUUUCAACCCUAGGUCCCUAGCCUAGCUGCUAGAGAACGUUAGGAAAUACUAUUCUGGUCAUUCCAGAAUAAGGUUCAGGUCCGGAUGUCAUUCUACUAGUUGUAGACUUGCUGGUUCAUACCAAAUCUUGUUUGGUAUUAUGCUAAUGUUAUCCUAUGUGUUAUAUUAUCAUAGUCUGCAUUGUCAUACUAAAUCAUGUAUAUAUAUAUAACUCCGUACUCUUGUACUUGUCCUUUGCUUCUGAAAUGUAUGCAUGUUUGAGGCUCUGGUCCUGCACAUUCUCUGUUACCCUAACUUCUAACUCCAUUUCCUCUGUAGUUAUGAAGUUCAGUGGGCAGCAUCCUAGGGGACCUGAUAUCCCAUGCACUGGUAUGGAUGUGCCAGGACUUUUGGUUCAUCAAUCCAGUGACAUUUCUGAGCUUAGUCAAAUUACUUGGUAUGUGGGAUUUAAAUUUCGUCUAGAUGUUUUGGAAGAAGUAUUGCUUCAUUUUUCUGAUUGGUAUCUUGAAAUUGAAGCUGCAAACUCCAUUUUGCUAAUCUCUUCAUGAGUUCUACAGAUAUUUGUGAUCGGUUGUGGUGCACCCUGCAGGGUUCAAAAACUUGUUAUCUUGUUAGUUCUAUUAUCUGGGCCAAGCUGUUUUUUAAAAAAAAAUUGAAGCUUAAUUACCUCCGGCCUCUGCGCCAGCUAUGGAUGCAUACAGCCGAAUUAUUACAAAUCCGAUAAAAUCGGCAAGAGAAAGAAGAAAAAAGGAUGCCAAGGCAGAUUGCCAAACGCAAUACAUGCCAUAGCCGAGUCAUUUGGGCCAGCCAUGCCAUGCCAUUAAUGGUUUUUUUUUUCUGUAGACAAAUUAUCAGAACACAGACAAUACUUAUCCAUGGCGUGCUGAAGGCCUGUCUGUGUUGGGCAUGGUAUCCACGGAUACUGUACCUUCCUGUCAUGUGCUGUUACAGAAUAGAUGAAUAUGACAAAGCCAUGGGUUCCUAGGAAGAGCAUCAUGGUACUGAACUGGUUGAUUACAUGGUACUUACUGGCAAAAACAGUCUGAUUCCAUUUUGUAGGAUCCUCGAAUUUCCUGCUAAGAUUAAUUGAAUGUGCUUAGUCAGAGUAUAGAAUAUGCCUGAGCUCUUAAUCAGUAGCCAGCAAUUCUAGUUACAUCCAUUUUACUAUGGUUGGAUCGUGUUAUCUUAUUUUUGAUCUAAACCGGCAUUUGAUCUCUCUGACUUCAUUUCCUGAAAAUCAGGCUGCAAACAUUAUCUGGUGCUACUGGGGUCCUUGGGGAAACAUAUGAUCCUUCUUAUAUUGGCAGUCAUUAUCCCCAACCAUCAGCAUUCCCAAGGUAAAAUUCUAACUUCGGUGUCCUUUAUGUUGCACGCUUUCAGAUAUCAUGUUCUCACCUUAUAGGUGUAUGUAUACUUUGCAACAAAUCUAGCUGGUAUUUGCCUAACUGCAGUUGUAGUUACAUCAGUUUCAGUCAGAGUUUAGCAUCUGAACUAUGAAAAAUAAUACCACGGAUAAUGGUUUCCUGGUCAGUUUUUCUUUUUUGGCACACUUUUCCUGCAGUUGUAGUUACAUCAGUUUCAGUCAGAGUUUAGCAUCUGAACUAAAGAUUUUGGCUGUCUUCAAUGUAAUCACAAGAACAGCAUGUAGAUUAUUAAGACACCGUAAUCUCAGAGCUAGUUUUUCCUAUAUCUUAGUACAAUCUAGAGCCUAAAUUUUCCGCUUACACUGAAUUGAAUGGCUGGUCUCGACAAUUGCAAGGUUCUCAACUAGCCUUUCUCUGUACUGUGUUCGCGGCGCAAGUCAGGACUUUUACUGUAGUUGCCUUCCUGGGAGUUCCAGUAUAAGCAAGGAAAAAAAUAGCGCCGCCCCUGAAAAUAUGCUAUUAGUGUGUUGUAGCGCGCUAUAACGUGCUAUUAGCGAGACAUUGUACACUGAUCAAUUUAGCGAGACAAUUUUCUAUACGCUAUAGCAUGCUAUUAGCGGCGGUAUAUCACGCCAUUUUUUUCAGUGAGUACAAGUCAUAAAACAGUAGAAAACGUUUCUGUGUAGGAAGCCAAUUUUCUUUUCAAAAAGAGAAAGUAAGUAUAUGGCCUCAUGGAUAUUGGAAAUGGGAUGUUGGAGGUUUUUUCGUUUCACCACCUGUUCCAUUGAUUCUUUUAUAGGCAUCAAUGUACAACACACAAAUUUGUGUAAACUUUAUACCUUGUAUGUUGGUAUAUGCAUUUCUGUCUUCAUUUCACUUAUUUACAGAUUCCAGGUUUUGUAUCCAUGUAGUGCCUGCCAACGGCCUGACUAUUUCAUGUCAGAUUGUGUGUUGUGCUUGUGAAACUUGCAUCAUGCUUACUUGACAAACAAGAACUACAGUGCGGUACAAGAAAGAUGAAUACACAUUGAUUUAUGUUUAAUUUCUUCUUUUUCCCUGCAGAAACCGUUGUGUGACUGAAGUUCCUGUCUUGUUGAACUCCCCUGAAAUACCAGGUGAAAGAAACCACUGAGUGUCGUUGUGUAUUCUGUAUUCUUUUAGGCUCGACUGAUGUUUAAAUGGUAAUUACCCUCUAGAUCUUAUUCUAUAAGUACAACUUAUAUUUUACCUCCUACCCUUCUGGCAGAGGUCGUAGGUCAUGAGCUUGGUCAGCGCAAGAACAAACUUCUCAGGUAAGUUCAGAUCAUGGGAAUUCAUAUGGUCUCUGCAUCGUGUUAACACCAAGUAUAUGUAUUGACAUCGCUUAUAAUUUAUCAGAUACUCAGAGAUGAACUUCGCUUCACUAACAUAAUGAGUUUAGUGACAACCAAAGUGAAUCCAGAGGACGAGCUUUCAGUCUGUAUCAGAACUAGCACAUUCUGCAUUGUAUUGCUACAGCUGUCAAUCAUAGUGCAUAGCUCAGUACUUUCCAAGUCCAAGUCCUUCGCUCCUUGUUUUUUCUUCGUGAAACACUUUGUAACUGUAACAAUUACACAAGGUAUGCCCACUUUUGCAGCUUCCGAGAAGUUCUUGGAAAAAGAUGCUGCCCUCUUCGUUAUUGACAGCACUUAAUUACAUUGACUUGUGAAUCUAGGUUUUGUUAUAGUAACACAUAGGCUUUGGAUGAUGUGUUCACUGCUUCUAGGCGAUUGACACUUUGACUGACAUGGGAGAAAGUUCUCCCUUUUGCUGUUCUGUACAAUUGUAUAUUCAUAUUCCAUUCUUAUUUCAUUGGAACCAUCAACCUAUUUCAUUGCUGUCUUCUGCCAUGAUUUGGCUUAGUAUAUCGGCCUUGUUUAGAUCCAUGGGUUAGAGUUAGAGUUGGUUAGAUUGGACCGAACUAACCCAAAACAUUCAAACAGGAGGGUUAGAGUUGGUUAGAUGCAUCCAACCCACCCAAAAAAACUAACCGACCCAAGAGGUGUUUAUUUAGGUUAGAGUUAGGUGGGGCCUAGAAAAAGUUACUUUCCCUCUAUCUCUACCACACAAAAUCCUGGAUAAAGGAGCCAAAUGAUUGAAAAAAGUACAUUUAUUGGCAAUCUAACCCUUUCAUCUAAACACCUCUUUGGUUAGAGUUAGUUUAGGGUUAGUCUAGAGUUAGAAUUUAACUAUCCAAACAGGGCCAUCAUUCUUCUUGAACUGCCUUGGUUCAGCAAUCACUAGAAAACCGUGAGUAACCUUUAUAGUACUACUUAAGUACUAGUAUAUGCAUUGUGAUUUUUCAUUGUCUGUCCAAUCAUGCCUGCGGCAUGUACAGAUCUAAAUUAGGUGAUACGUUCGCCAGUGUAAAUCUGUAAUAUUGCUGCACGUUGUAAUCUUGGCUGGUUUGACUGUUUAGGUAAGCAAGCCAUUUGUUAUAGUCGUGUGCACUGGCCUGCUCCUUGUGCUGGGUCUGGUAUUCCAUACUAACUACUACUCCCUCCGUUCCUAAAUAUUCCCUCCGUCCUAAAAUUCUUGUUUUAAAUUUGUCUAGAAAUGGAUGUAUGUAAAUACUAAAACGUGGCUAGAUACAUUCAUAUAUAUACAAAUUUAAGACAAGAAUUUUGAGACGGAAGGAGUAUAAGUCUUUCUAGAGAUUUCAUUAGGGGACUACAUACGGAGCAAAAUGAGUGAAUCUUCACUCUAAAUUAUGUCUAUAUACAUUCGUAUGUCGUCUCCUAGUGAAACCUCUAAAAAGACAUACUCCCUCCGUUCCAAAAUUCUUGUCUUAGGUUUGUUAAAAAUGGAUGUAUUAAAAUAUUAAAAUGUGACUAGAUGCAUUCAUAUCUAGAUAAAUCUAAGACAAAAAUUUUAGGACGGAGGGAGUACAUGCCAGUAUGUUUUUUCUUGCUUAUUAUUUUUCCUCAUGGGCAUGCCACUAUUGACUGCUUAUGGCCUUGGCAGAUCUCUCACCAUGAUGAUCCCAAGGUGGCAGUUCCGAUCCGUGAACUCUUGCUCCUGGUCAAGAGGAGUAACUUUGCUUCUGUUCUGCUCCGCUCUCCCCUAGUAAUUUCCGGUUGAUUUGCUCUUUUUGUCAGCAUGGCCUUGGUUUGAUAUUUCUUCUAAUCAACACUGCAACUGCAAACCAUAUCGCUUCUUGCUAUUAGCAGCAGCAUGUUGACUCCUAGUUGGUGGUUAGCCAUGUUUUAUUCUUUUGACGAAACUCAGUGUAGACUUAUUUGUAUGCUGCUCGUAGUUCUAUGUUCUGAUCGGCUGCUGGGAUAUAGCUAGUUAAAACCCAGUCUUCUAGUCAGGGAAGAGGGUCAUAUGCUUCAUGUCCGUUAGAUUCAAUUAUUCGAGUCUGCUGAACAUCUGAUUGCAAACACAGUCCACAUAGAUUCCCUCUGCACAAAACGGGUAAGGGAGAAGGAGGCCCCUGUUGUGCCCAUGCCAUGCCCUCUUCAUCAUCCUACAACAUCCUAUUCGUUUCUUGCUCCACCUUCGGCUCCAAACACGAAAACAUGAUGUUGGUUAGGACGUCGCAAAGGGGUCCCCUGGGUCCUGGCCGUGCACACUUGAGCCUGUGAGUUUGUCACAAGCAGCACUCACCUGGCCAUCUCUGCUGCGAGUGGUUUUCAUUUACGUGCAGACAGGGAAUCCGGAACACCAUCAAGCCUAGAUCGCAGCUCAUUUCUGGUUGCCCGUCCCCGCCUGACUGACUACCUGAAGCGACAGAACAAUGGCUUCUCCCGUGCAUAUGAUGGAUGGACACUCUUCACAGAAAGAGCCAACCACACUAUCAUGCUCCUAUGCUUUCCCCACGGUCUCGUUUCCUCCAGUAAGUUUCGGCACACAUGGCAUGGGUCUCGGCCGUCCGCGAGACACGCGUCACGCUCACGCUGUCGGCUCAUCAUCAACAACGUCGUUUUGGUGAAUGGACCAAAGCAACAAGGCGCGUCGUGCUUCUGGUGAAAUGUCUCUGCGUUUUAUUUCGUAGUUAGUAAUUUUUUAAAGAGAAGGACUUCGGUACAACCCCAAAGUAUAAGGGCAAUAUGGUCUUUAUACAUUGUGUACAGUAUCCGUCGUCCAUCCGUCCGUCGUACGUUUACCCGCCCGUCGUACGCCCGAUCUUCACGUACGCCACGUUAGCCCACGCGUCGGCGGUUGGUUUGGAAGAUGAAAAAAAGGAUACAAACCCUAUCUUCUCUCUUCGUCGCCGCCGUGACUUCACCCCGCACGUCUCCACCGCCGCCGCGACUCCACCACGCGCGUCUCCGACGCCGUCGUUACGCCACCCCGCACGUCUCCGCCGUCGCCGACGUGACUCCCCCNNNNNNNNNNNNNNNNNNNNNNNNNNNNNNNNNNNNNNNNNNNNNNNNNNNNNNNNNNNNNNNNNNNNNNNNNNNNNNNNNNNNNNNNNNNNNNNNNNNNNNNNNNNNNNNNNNNNNNNNNNNNNNNNNNNNNNNNNNNNNNNNNNNNNNNNNNNNNNNNNNNNNNNNNNNNNNNNNNNNNNNNNNCGCACGUCUCCGUCGUAGUGGACGUGACCACCAACACCAACAAACCUCCGCCAUCGAUGCUUCGACGUCGACGGUUGCAGUGACCGACGCGGCAUGUCCAUGUUCAAACGACGACGUUGUACCCACCGGUGCAUCGACGACGAACGAUGUGGUUGAACCCUUCAACGACCGACAAUAAGUUUUUUUUUCAUUUAAUCCAUACGAUUUUUCAUGAUUUCAUUGUAUGCUUUAUGUUGUGGUAUUGUGACAUUGAUAAAACACCUUUUGAAAGGUUUAUUGUUAGAGCAAGACACAGAAUAUGUCGGUGAUGACUCUAGUAAUGAGGAUGAAUCAUCGUCAUUGAAUGCAAAUAAAUCACCCGGACACAACUAUAUGAGUCAGGAUGAAUCAUGUAGUAGUAAUGUAAGUGUUGUGUAUGUUGAUAGAAAUUAUGGAAUAUAAGCUAAUACAUUGACACUUACAGUUGCCAUUGAAUUUAAAUAGGUGCAUGUCAAUAAUGACAAUGGCGAUUACAAUAUAGAUGAACAAUCUUAUGUUGAAAAUGAAACUCAGGUACGUUUCAAAUAUGUUGUAUAAUUACUAGCAUACAAAUUGUAUUAUCACUUAACUUUUGAAUCUACACAGAGAAAUAUCGAUGGUGGCACUGAGCCGAGAACUUUAGAUGAUGACAAUGAUGANNNNNNNNNNNNNNNNNNNNNNNNNNNNNNNNNNNNNNNNNNNNNNNNNNNNNNNNNNNNNNNNNNNNNNNNNNNNNNNNNNNNNNNNNNNNNNNNNNNNNNNNNNNNNNNNNNNNNNNNNNNNNNNNNNNNNNNNNNNNNNNNNNNNNNNNNNNNNNNNNNNNNNNNNNNNNNNNNNNNNNNNNNNNNNNNNNNNNNNNNNGAUGACAAUGAUGAGGAUGAUGACAAUGAUGAGGACGAUGUCGAUGCAUCUACUGAAGGAAAUGUGAGUGAAGUUAUAGUACUUGUUUAAAUUUUUCAUGAAAACUAACAACAUAGCAACAGACUGACGAACAUGGUGAUAUGUCUUAUUUUGCGGGGGGUGUUGAUGGUCCUAAUGGGAAAGAUGAGCAUGUUGACUAUCUUGAGUUUGACCUUGACAUCGGCUAUGAUGAAUAUCAGAAAGAGUCACUAGAUAGGCAUUGGGAAGUGAGGGCCAAGACAUUCAGGUCAGAAGGAGAGGCGUACAUGUUCUACAACCAGUACGCGAAAGAUCGUGGGUUCAGUAUCAGGAGGGACUUGAAAAGAUUUGCAUAAGGUCCUUCAAAAGUUUUGCGCUUGAGGAAGUAUCUCUGUUCCAGGGCAGGAAAACGACAUGCCAAAUUUUGUACCAUGGAAGACCGGACCCGCAGACCGAGACCAGAGAGUCGAUACUUUUGUGAAGCCCAUUAACAGUGAAGGUUGAUAGAAAGAGUGAACUUUGGUAUUUCAGCAGUUUCUUCGAUGAUCACAGCCACGUUCUUGCACGACCGCACGAACUCCCUUUCCUCCGGUCUCACAAUGUGAUCAAAGAAUUUUAGAAAGCAGAGAUAUUAGCUAUGAUAGGAGAUGGGAUAAGAAAGCACAUUAUUUUUGAUAACUUUGUCGGCGGGUACGGUUUGUACGCUAAGACAGGGUUUGGAAGGAGGAAGACGUAUAAUAUGUGCUACAUGAAAAAGAUGAAACUGCUUGCUGAGGGUGAUGCAGGAAUCAUGUUGGCUAGAAAGGACAGGGAUCUGGAUUUCUUCUUUGAGCAUACUAUUGACGCUGAAGGUAGGCUGAACAACUUGUUCUGGUGUGAUUCGCAAUCACGUCGGGAUUAUCUUGACUAUGGUGAUAUCACUGUGUUCCACAGUACGUACAAGAUGAAUAGGUAUGGAAUGUUGUUUAUCCCUUUCGUCGAUCUCAACAAUCACCGUUGCACUACGGUAUUUGCAUGCGCCAUUGUUACAGAUGAGACUGAAGGUACGUAUGUUUGGCUGCUAUAGACGUUUUUGAAAGCUCACUGUUAGAAGAAGCCCGAUUCUGUAAUUACUGAUGGAGAUGCAUCGAUGAUAAGGGCUAUCAGGAAGGUGCUUCCUAACGCGUGGCAUCGUCUAUGUUCAUGGCAUAUUGAAAAGAACAUGCAGAAACACCUCCACCACAAGUCAUUGAAGGAAUUCAGGUCACUCCUGUACUACGCCACCACACAUACAGUUUUCGAGGAGAGAUGGGCCGCGUUUGUUCAGAAAUGGCAGACGGAGAAAACAAAAACAUGACUCCAUAGGAUGUACAGGAAGAAGCUUUGGGAUGCAUGAUAUUUGUGUGGUGGGUUAUUUUUUGGUAUGCGGAGUAAUCAGAGGAGCGAGAGCCUGAACUCAUGCAUGCACCUACAUCUUGACUACGGUAUAACAAUUGUUGACAUGAUUGUAUACUAUGAUAAUUGCAUUAUGCGCUUCCACGAGAAUGAAUCACAUGAAGAUUGCAUGGCCUCACAGACUCUACCAGUAGCAGUGACUGAGUGUAAGACCAUUGAGGUGUUCGCUGCCAAAGCAUUCAUGAAGGCAAACUUUUACAUCUUGCGGGAAGAUUUAAAGAAGGUACAUCAGCUUGAGGUAAUUGAUAGAUUAAGAGGAGCCGACAGUCACAGAUUCGUGGUUGCGUGGAAAAAUAACAGGGAUCAUAGGUUUAUUGUGGACUAUGCAUCAGGUAACUCCGCAGAAACUAUAAAGUGCAGUUGUCGAAGUAUGACUCGCAAAUUCCUUCCUUGCAAACAUAUUCUUCAUGUUUUGAAUGCACUCAACUUACAUGCAAUGCCUAAGUGUUGUGUCAUGUGAAGGUUCACAAAGAAAGCAAGAUCUAGAUUGCCCAUGAAGCGCAUCAACGAUCUGUUUUCAUGGGGUUGGAUGGGUACUAAGGCCAGAGCUAGAUUUAGUAAGUUGAGCAUUGUAUCUGCAGAAGCUUCUCAUAUUGCAUGUCAUAACACAUUCUUAUUCGACAAGAUGCUGACAACAAUGGAAGAAAUUAUAACGAGUAAGGACGUCUUGGAUAAUGAAGAAUCUAUUCAACAAAGCUUUGUGAGUAAUGAUGAAUUUUAGCCUAAGCAGGAUCAUAUUCUUAUUCGUGAUCCAGUGAAGGUGUUCACCAAAGGGGCACCUAAGCAGAAUAGUAGAGGUCAUGGUAAGAAUGAUUCUGAUGUGACCAAAAAUGAAAGACCAAAAUCAUUUGAUGAUAAAACCGGACAUCUAUGUAGCCUAUGCAGACUUUCAGGUCAUAACAAGGCCACUUGCAACCAAAAUCUAGAGUACGUAUUAGUAUGUGUUUUCAUUUGUUUAUUUUACUUAUGUUGUUUUGUUUCUAUAAUUAUCCUUACAAUCUAUAACUUAUUUUAUGCAGUAACUGGGGUUGAAGACACAAGCGAUGUUAUUGCAAGUGUUUUACUUCAUUCAUUUAUACAAACCACAAGAGUUUACUUUAUUCAAUAAUAUGGAAGACUAUACUUUUCUUUUUAUUCGUGCUAUAUAAACAUAUGGAACUUUUUUAUAUGUGUAAUACUAUUGUGUUAUAUAAGACAAUAUGUAUAUGGUUUUCAUGUUAUUUAAGAUAUACGACUUGUCAUAAUUUGUAUCGUUAUGUUGCUAACUGUGCACUUCAGCCAUCGUCGCUAACUGUGUACUUCAGCCGUCGUCGAUUGUGCUGUUUUAUUUCAUGCAAAAAAUAUGCACGUCGGUUACUGCGCCGCGGUGACGGGGGCAUAUGUUUUUUUCUCAACAACAUCGCGGCCGACGGUCACAUAAUUAGACGUUCAACAACGUCGGGGUUGCGGGGUAUAUGAACAGGUCAUCGCAGCCUUCGUCGGCGAGGUGGGACUAAAAACGACGCGUCGCCGGUUUCGCACGCCCGUUGUCUCACUUGGGCUGACCCACGGCGCUAUAGCCCGUAGUGCAAAAAAUUGUACGUCCGUGCGGCCGACUGUGUGCACCGACGGCGCCCGUGCAGUUGACCAUCGCCUUUUUUUCUCAGUGCACCCGACCGACGCCACGUCGCAUUUAGCCACCAUCGAGCAAAUUUUCCGACGGCUUAAAUACAUUACUAAUGAGAGAUCGAGAUAGCAAAUUUUAUAGUAUUUUCAACAACGACAUAAUAUUCUAUAUAUUUAAAAAACAUGACAAUUAUCAUUAGUAUAAAAUCUUUCAAACACAAAAUAUCAUGAAGUAUAUGUGGAAAAUAUAUAUGUCUCUUAAAGAUGUUCACAACGAAGUACGGAAAUCACAAAAAUAAUCUAGUCCCGUAGUAAAUUUAAGCACGCGUGAAUCUCCUCGAGUGUCAUCUAUUUCUUCCUCCUUGCAAUCCUCAUAACUUUGUUUUUCACUUUCCCAAACGCGUUCUUUUCAGAAAAAAUAAUUUGCGCCAUCAUUAGUUCCCUCGAAGCAUCAACUGAUCUCUGCAAAACAAAUCCUGUUAAUACACUAUAAAGUCUUCAUAGUAAAGAAGUAUUAAUAUUAGUUUUGUACAUGUGAAAAAGAGCAAGCCCAUUUAUCGCCAUUCCAAUUUUUAAAGCAAUGAAGAACAAAUAAUCCACAUGAGUUCCUGAUGCAUAUAAUUUAAAAUAAAUAAUUAUGCAUCACACACAUAUAAUACACCAACAUUAUAUUCAACUACAUACUCACUCAUCUUUUUGUUGAGGCGUGACGUAGGUUUUAAUAUGCCAUGUGGAUACAUCCGGAUACUACACAGAUCCCGUUGCAUUUGCUUCUGCAAUAUCUGCUUCAAUUUCUCUUCUCUAAAAAUUAACAAUAACAGGGCGAUAAACUUUCAGUAAAUAAGGUAAACACAUGAUGGUUUGGCAAUGCAAAUGUGUAUUAAAACCUACCAUGUCCUCAACGAGUUUUCUAGUUCUACUGUCAAGUUCUUUUCCCAUCAACGAGUCUAGAACCUGGAACUCUUCCUUUUCCUUAUGCAUGACGACCGUAACCCAAUGGGUGUCAUCCUUGUUAAUAAACAUAUAAGCCUGCAUAAAGAAAAGAGAAUAUAACCCAAAUCAAUGCAACAAUUGUUAUACUAGUGCAUUGUUUGUAUACCUUACAACCACUGGGACAUACCUUAGGUGUUUUGAAAUACUCGUUGAUACACCUAUUCAUGGGUUCAUUUUUAUUUGACACUGUUUCAUAGUCGUUACGGUCGUCAUUCUUACCAUUUCUACAAUCAAGCAACCACUUCACCCUUCAAGUCGGCAAUAUGUAACGUUCGUCUUUAGCUUCCCCCAUCAAAAAAUAUGAGUAUGCAUUGAUAAUCUGAAAAUGAUAUAACAAAUGUAAUGAUUGUACUUUGUUGUGAAAUAUAAUGUUAAAAAUGAAAAUAGCUUACAUGGCCGCUUAGCCAUCUGUGGUUAAGAAUCUGACAAGCUCUUUCUGCAGUCAAAGCGUCGACCAAACCAUCAUUGAAAAUUUAUGUAGCUCUAUGUUUCUUUGAGCGCUCACAUGCACGUACGAACUGAACACUCGCUUUGAUCACAUCGACGUCAUCAAUAGAUUUCUUAACAUCUUCUUUACUAAACAGUUCUGCAAAUCACAAAUCAAACAUUAGUAAACAUAACUAUAUAAUAAACUUGUUUUAAUAAAAAAUAUUGAUUCAUAACAAUCUUACUUGCUUUGGCAGAACGUUUUGCAUUCUUGAUGGGUUUAACAACAACAAAAGGAGACUUUACGGCUUUUGAUGCAUUGUUUUUACGUUUGCCAAGCACCUCUUCCACUUGCUCAUCUACUCCGUUAGAAUGACCCGAUCCGUGUGAUGAUAUUUCAUUUGUCUCUAAAGACGUGACCGCCUUCUCAUCUGAUACGUCAGGUACUUUGAUAGGAUCAUUCUUAUCACCCUUGAAACUACCCAGAUACUCAGGAGUGCAAUAAUAAGGUGCCUUACCAUGGGAAUUUACAUCACCACCGUCAUCGUCCUUUUGCUUACUCAUUUUACGAUGAAAAGGUGAGCGAUAGUCGUCCAUAUCAGAAUGAUAAACAAACUCCCUAUCACGAAAUGCACUAUCAUUUGUAGAUUCAUUAAUGUCAUCAUAUAGAUUCUCUUCUUCUUCUUCCAUGUUAACGGUUCUAUAGAAUACACCGGUUUUGUUCAUUUUCUCAAUCAUCCUCUGAAAAACAUUUGUUCAUCAGAGUUAUGUAAGUCAAUGAAAUACAUUAUGCAUGAUAGUAGAAAUGUGUUGCACCGUUACCCGUGCGCAUAACUUUGGCAAGCGAAGCAUGUCCUGCGUAUUUCCUUCAGCUCAUGCCAAAUGCGGUCCAUAACAUGCUUCUGGCUCGCGGAAGCCUCUCAUGUGUUGCCCUCUUUCUUCCAUCCACUAACAGUAGACGUUUUUGUACUUGAUUUUUUUUUCUCAGCUUGUUCUUGAGAAAAAAAUUUCACCCUAUACUCAUAUGUAAUAUUGUCAUAAAUCUAUAAGAACAAUAAUUAGAGAGCAUAAUUAUACAUCAAAGUUUAGACAAUAAAUUGAACCAUGGAAAUGUAACAUUAAAAGAAGAAAAUAUGGAUUACCAUUCCAACACUCUAACCAUAAUCAUAGUCGUAUUUGUGUCUUUUCUGCGCUAGAGCUUCCGUCUAGUUCAUCAUCAAGGGGCUCAUAAGUGACAACAAAUCAUAUUUUGGACCUAUAACUGGUUGUACCUUCUCCCAAUAUGCAUACUGCAAUACAUCAAAUAUGUUUGAAUAAUACAUAUUUGACUAACAUUACAUAAACAAUAAUUUGAAAACAAUUAAUAAAAUAUACCUGCAAAAGGGCAAGGUUCCCAUGUGGCCAUUCCCUAACACGACCGUCCUCUAGAACCUUUCGAAUCUCCGAAAAAAAGAACUUCAAAGUGAACUCGUUCCAGUUGAACUUACUUAUCAUCUUUUUAUCCUUAACUAAGGCAUAAUACUCCGAAGAAUAUAUUCAUGAGGGACUGGUGCGAUUACUGUUCCCAACAAAACUAGAAACGUCAUCCGUACAAAGUCAUCAUCUCUGUUUUCAUUCCUCACAAUCUUAUUGAUUCGAUUAUCAAUCAUGAUCUUACCCUUUCUUGUGUCCACAAAAAUAACUGGUAUUUUUUUCAUAGAUUUUUGCCUUUCCGUUCUAAGAAAACCAACAACAUAAACUCCUUGAUUUUUUAAACCAAAUAUAGAAAACACAUCAUCAGCCCAUACUUAAAUAAGGACUUUAGUCCCAGAUGCCUCUUGAACCAUGAAUUUUUUACUAUGACGAUUGUAGGCUUGGAUCAAAAAGUGAAGUAAAAAUUCACGCAUCUUUACGGACGGUAUUUAUAACAUGCCUUGCAAAUCCGUUUCAUAAAAUGUAAUUUUUUGACUUGCUGAAAGUUUGUCAACAAGGCUAACCCACUUCUCAACUGAAUAUGGAAUCACACCAUCGAUAUCCAUCCUUCAUAAUUUUAAAAUAUUGUCACGUACGAUGCAACUCAUUUGACAUGUGAAUACUAACAUGAAAACAUCAUAAAAAUAAUUACCCAAAGCAGAAGGCCGGCGGCGGACGACGGACGAUGCAAUAGCGGCCAUAUGGACGGCAGAGGGCGCGUCGACGUACGGACGUAGAGGUGUGACGGCGGAUGGGGUAAUAGAUCACACCACCGUACGGAGGGCCCGGGGAGAAGGGAGAGAACACAGUGGCGACGGGAAGGAUGGAGGGCGGCGAGGCAGUCUAGAGCGGGAGGCGGCGACGGAAAGGAUGGCGGCUGUGGGGAAAUGUAGAGCAGGGGCGCGGCGGCGGCGAGAUCACGUUGGGGUAAGGCUAGGUGUGGGAAUAGAUUGCAUGCACGUCGGUUAUCCUGUCGGGCGCGGAUACCCUACUAUGGCGACGUCAGUUGAGAUCACAACGGGGCAACUAAUGACGCCGACAAGAGUCUAACCUCUUUCUUUUUAAUAUUAAAGACGCAAGGGGUGUUACAAUGCGAUCUUGCUACUCUCAUUCAUCAAACGGACCCAAAUUUUUUCACGCUUCCUAAUGAACUUCACAAGGAGGCACGUCCAUUUUUUAUUUUGUGACAAUCCGUGCCUUUUCUGUGAAUUUCCAUGCAAAAACAAGCAAGAACAGAUGUCGUACGUGACGCAACAUGCGUUUGGUCUUCGAUUUCGUUGAAAUUUUGCAUGGCACAAUUGGAUGCACAUUUUCAAGUGCCGGUAAAAGUUGGGUACAUUUCAUGCAUGCAUGCAUGUACAUCAUGUGCAACCCACCAGUGUCGGUAUGGACGGAAGGGGUGUUAUAAUGCGAUCUUGCUACUCCCCUUCGUCAAACGGACCCAAUUUUUUUCCACGCUUCCUAAUGAAGUUCACAAGGAGGCACGCCAUUUUUUUUAUUUUCUGACAAUCCGUGCUUUUUCUGUGAAUUUCCAUGCAAAAACAGGCAAGAAGAGAUGCCGGACUUGACGCAACGUGCGUUUGGUCUUUGAUUUCGUUGAAAUUUUGUGUGGUAUAAUUGGAUGUGCAUUCUCAAGUGCCGACAAAAGUUGGGUACAUUUCAUGCAUGCAUGCAUGUACAUCAUGUGCACCCACCGGUGUCGGUAUGGACGGAAGGGGUGUUACAAUGCGAUCUUGCUACUCCCCUUCAUCAAACGGAUCCAAAUUUUUUUCAUGCUUCCUAAUGAACUUAACAAGGAGGCACGUCAAUUUUUUUUUAUUUUCUGACAAUCCGUGUUUUUUCUGUGAAUUUCCAUGCAAAAACAGGCAAGAACACAUGCCGGACGUGACGCAACGUGCGUUUGGUCUUCGAUUUCGUUGAAAUUUUGACUGGCACAAUUGGAUGUGCAUUCUCAAGUGCCGACAAAAGUUGGGUACAUUUCAUGCAUGCAUGCAUGUACAUCAUGUGCAACCCACCGGUGUCGGUGAAUGGACGAAAGGGGUGUUACAAUGCGAUCUUGCUACUCCCCUUCAUCAAACGGACCCAAUUCUUUUCACGCUUCCUAAUGAACUUCACAAGGAGACACGUCAAUUUUUUUUAUUUUCUGACAAUCCGUGUUUUUUUUGUGAAUUUCCAUGCAAAAACAUGCAAGAACAGAUGCCGGACGUGACGCAACCUCCGUUUGGUCUCUGAUUUCAUGGAAAUUUUGCAUGGCACAAUUGGAUGUGCAUUCUCAAGUACCAGCAAAAGUUUGUUACACAUGCAUGCAUGCAUGUACAUCAUGUGCAACUCAUCGAUGUCGGUAUGGACGAAAGGGGUGUUACAAUGCGAUCUUGCUACUCCCAUUCAUCAAACGGACCAAAUUUGUUUCCACGCUUCCUAAUAAACUUCACAAGGAGGCACGUUAUUUUUAUUUUUAUUUUCUGACAAUUCAUGCUUUUUCUGUGAAUUUUCAUGCAAAAACAUGCAAGAACAGAUGCCGGACACGAAAAUCAUAGAAAAUGCAUGAAAUAUAAAAGAUUAUAAAAAUUGACGUGACUCCUUACGAUGAUCACUAGGGCGUGUGAAAAAAAAAUUGGUUCCAUUUCAUGAAUCAAAGUAACAUCAUCACAUCAUCAUUUAAAGUGAACAAAGAUAUUAAAGAAGAUAAACCAACUACGUUAGUGAGCCCAUCGUUACGAGAGAUUUGCACCCCUUGUUAUAAUGCUCCCACGAAAUAAGGUAAUCCAAUAUUGGCCUUAAAACAAUGUGCGUGUGUUCUUUUCAAAAUGGUGUACUUCAAAAUUUUAUAUACAUUUUUAUGAACCGUUUGUAUAUUUUUUUUAAAUGUAAGGAAGGCCGAUUUUUUUAACAUAUUUCAAAAAUUGUUCAAUAUUCUGAAGAAAUAAUAAUAACAACACUUAAUUUAGAUAAAGUAACAACACUUAAUUUAGAUAACCAUAGUUCAUUCAUAUUACAUUCGAACAUAACACGACUUUAAUUAAACAUUACUAAAAUUAAAAGUGAAAUUUAAUUAAACAUUCCUAAAAUUAAAAACAAAAGUUAAUUAAACAUUACUAAAACUAAUCUAAUCAGACUCGUCGAGGUAGAUGAUGCCCGGCCCCUCCACCGCGUCGUCCCCAUCCGCGUUCGUUGUCGUCGUCGGAACUGCUGCCGAGGUUAUCCCGCUCGAUAUCGUCUUCGUCGUUCUUGUUGUCGCCGUAUUCCUCGACGACGGGCUGCGGAUAUGCCGCCAGUGCCGUCGCGAUCUCCGCCUCCUCCCUCAUCGUCCUCGCCGUCGUCGCCGUUGUGAGAGGCACACACGGCGACGAGCAGUCCCGGUGAAUCGUCGGGGUCGUCAUCCUCGUGGAGGACGACCUGCUCCGGCGGGAGUUCAACCUCCGGCGGGGCCACACGAGGGUCCACCGGCGGGGGCUGGCGGGUUAACGCCCGACGGCUCGGGCGGCGCUGGCUGCCGCCGGGGUUGACGGGGCUGCCGGCGACCGCCGACGCGCGCCGGUGCUGGUUGAUGACGUCGGCGUAGGACUUGCCAUCCCAAAACGCGUGCGGGCCGUAGAUGUUGUGCCGGUCGCCGCGAUGGUUACGACGCCCCUCCUCCGUCGCGGUGGGCCCGAGCGCCGCGUAGCCGUCCUUGUUGAGUUUCUAUGGCUUCGCAAGACGGCACCCCGGCGGGACCAAAAACGUGUAGCGAUGGAGCUCCUCCUUUUCCGGCAUGUCAAGGCUCGUCGGCCAGAUGCUCGGUGGGUCGCCACCGGCGACGGAACUGCUACUGUCGCAGAGGACACCAUCGUCGGGGUGAGAGGUCGGGGGGAGAGGAGCUGCGGGGCGACGGGGGAGAGGAGAGCGACGCGUCUGGGCGAUGUGCCGGGGGACGCCGACUUUAUAUAGACCGCCGGGGGAAGGGGAGGCGACGGGGCAGUUGGGCGGCGUUACACCCCGGAGUAAACGCGUUGCCUCGGGGAGGUGACGGGCCUCGGAAGAUGGCGGCUUCAAGCGUUAAUGCACCGACCUCGGGAGACUGUUGGGGAACGUCGCAUGGGAAACAAAAAAAUUCCUACGCACAUGAAGGCCUAUCAUGGUGAUGUCCAUCUACGAGAGGAGAUUUGGAUGUACGCACCCUUGUAGAUCGCACAGCAGGAAACAUUAAGAAACGCGGUUGAUGUAGUGGAACGUCCUCACGUCCCUCGAUCCGCCCCGCGAACCGUCCCACGAUCCGCCCCGCGAUCCGUCCCACAAUCCGCUUCGAUCUAGUGCCAAACAGACGACACCUCCGCGUUCAGCACACGUAUAGAUCGACGAUGAUCUCGGCCUUCUUGAUCCAACAAGCAAGACGUAGAAGUAGAUGAGUUCUCCGGCAACGUGACGGCGCUCCGGUGGUGGUGAAGGAUAUACUCGUGCAGGGCUCCGCCCGAGCUCCGCAGAAAUACGAUCUAGAGGAAAAACCGUGGUGUUUGUGGUCGGGCUGCCGUGGCAAAAGUUGUCUCAAAUUAGCCCUAGAACUCCACUAUAUAUAGGAGGAGGGGAGGGGACACUUGCCUUGGGGUCCAAGACCCCAAGGGUCCGCCGUCCAAGGAGGUGGAGGAGUCCACCUCCAAUCCUAGUCCAACUAGGAUUGGAAGGUGGAGUCCUUCCCUUCCUUCCCACCUUUUUUUUAUUUUCUCUUUGAUUUUCUAUCUCCUGCGCAUAGGGCCCUUUUGGGCUGUCCCACCAGCCCACCAAGGGCUGGUGCGGCACCCCUAAGGCCUAUGGGCUUCCCCGGGUGGGCUGGCCCCUCCCGGUGAACAUCCGGAACCCAUUCGUCACUCCCGUACAUUCCCGGUAAUGCCCAAAAACUUUCCGGUAACCAAAUGAGACAAUCCUAUAUAUCAAUCUUCGUCUCCGGACCAUUCCGGAAACCCUCGUGACAUCCAUGAUCUCAUCCCGGACUCCAAACAACAUUCGGUAACCACACAUAUAACUCAACUAUACUAGAACAUCGCCGAACCUUAAGUGUGCAGACCUUGCGGGUUCGAGAACUAUGUAGACAUGCCCCGAGGUACUCCUCGGUCAAUAUCCCAUAGCGGGACCUGGAUGCCCAUAUUGGAUCCNNNNNNNNNNNNNNNNNNNNNNNNNNNNNNNNNNNNNNNNNNNNNNNNNNNNNNNNNNNNNNNNNNNNNNNNNNNNNNNNNNNNNNNNNNNNNNNNNNNNAUAUUUAAGGUAUAUAUUAGUUUUACGCUAUUUACAUGUGAUUGCACUUUGAUAUAUACAUUGAUGUACUGUGUGUGCCAGCAUACUGAUCCAGGGAUGGCACAGAUACACAGAGGCUUGACUCGUCUUGAGUCGGGUCGCUACAUAACCAUAGAGGCAUGUUUACUCAAUAGCUUAAGAUCAUUGAUGUUUCUGUCCACACAAGCACUUAAAUGACUAAGCAUACGAGCAUUCCAUUCCAAUUGUGUGCUAACAUAAUCAUUGAAACUUUUUUGUUUGGCAACAAAGUUAUCAAAUUCAUCCAGGCAUAAGCUAGCAGGUUUAUCAAAAGGAAUGUCACUCUCAUUGAAUCUACGAAGAGAAUUUACCUCUACUACGUGUAUCGGGUUAUCAAGACCAUGGAUCUCUUCGAUAGGUGGUAGAUUUUUGACAUCUUCAGAUUUAAUGCCUUUCUCUUUCAUAGAUUUCUUAGCUUCUUGCAUAUCUUCAGGACUGAGGAAUAGAAUAACUCUUUUCUUAGGAGUUGUCUUAGGAGGUGGUUCGGUAAUAGUCCAAGCAUUCUCAUUGCACAAGAUAUUAUUCAAUAGGAUCUCAGCUUGUUCUACGGUUCGUUCUGUAAAAACACAACCAACACAACUAUCUAGGUGGUCUCUAGAAGCAUCGGUUACUCCAUUAUAGAAGAUAUCAAAUAUUUCAUUCUUCUCAAGAGGGUGAUCAGGCAAAGCAUUCAGUAGCUGGACGAGCCUCCCCCAAGCUUGUGGGAGACUCUCUUCUUCAACUUGCACAAAGUUGUAUAUUUCCUGCAAGGCAGCUUGCUUCUUAUGGGCAGGGAAAUAUUUCUCAGAGAAGUAGUAGAUCAUAUCCUGGGGGCUACGCACACAACCAGGAGUAAGAGAAGUGAACCAAGUCUUAGCAUCAUCCUUUAGUGAGAAAGGAAACAGCUUGAGGAUAUAGUAGUGGCAGAUCUUUUCCUUACUCGUGAAUAGGGUGGCUAUAUCGUGCAGUUUGGUAAGAUGGGCUACAACUGUUUCAGACUCAUAACCGUGAAAAGGAUCUGAUUUGACCAGAGUGAUUAACUCAGGGUCGACGGAGAAUUCAUGAUCCUUAUCGGUCACAAAGAUAGGCGAAGUUGUCGGAUCGUAUUUCAUCCUAGCGUUCAAAGAUUUUUCUUUCCACUUGCGCAGUAAUUUCUCAACAUCAUAGCUAUCCUUACAAGCAAGAAAGUCCUCAGCUAUCUCUCCCUCCAUAACAUAACCCUCAAGCAUAUCAGGCAAUUCAUAUCUAGGAGAGCUAGUUUUAAUAGGCAAAAUAGCAGGUUCUACUUCAAUAAUCUCAGCAGUUUCAGAAGUAUCAUCACAUCUAGCAACAACUCUAGCAAUUUGUGCAUCAAGGAAUGCACCUAGUGGCAAAGCAGUAUCAAGCAUAGCAUCAUCACAAGUAUCAUGGAUAGCAGAAGCAGCAUCAUCAAGCACAUGCGAUACAUCAAAAUUUCUAGCAGGAGGUGGUGUCGCAAACUUACUCAUAACUGAAGGUGAAUCAAGUGCAGAGCUAGAUGGCAGUUCCUUACCUGUCCUCGUAGUUGAGGGCAAGACUUUAGUUUUGGGAUCUCUCGAAUUCCUCAUAGUGAUCAGGAGACGUAAAUCCCAAGUGACUCAGAGAAUAUAGCUAUGCCUCCCCGGCAACGGCGCGAGAAAAAGGUCUUGAUAACCCACAAGUACAAGGGAUCGCAACAGUUCUCGAGGGUAGAGUAUUCAACCCAAAUUUGUUGAUUCGACACAAGGGGAAGCCAAAGUAUAUUCUCAAGUAUUAGCAGUUGACUUCUCAAUUCAAACACACCUGAAAGACUUAUAUCUGUAGAAAAGUAUUAGUAGCAAGGUAGUAUGAUAGCAGCAGUAGCAACGGUGACGAGUAGCAGCAAAGUGACAGCAGUAGCAGCAGUAACAGCAGUAGCGACAAAGUAACAUAGCAAGGACCAGUAGGAAAAACUCAUAGGCAUUGGAUCGAUGAUGGAUAAUUAUGCCGGAUGUUAUUCAUCAUGCAACCGUUAUAACACGGAGAGAUAUGUAACUAGCUCCAGUUCAUCAAUGUAAUGUAGGCAUGUAUUCCGCAUGUAGUCAUACGUGCUUAGGGAAAAGAACUUGCAUGACAUCUAUUGUCCAUCCCUCCCGUGGCAGCGGGGUCCUAAUGGAAACUACUGGAUAUUAAGGUUCUCCUUUUAAUAAAGAACCGGACCAACGCAUUAACACUUAGUGAAUACAUGAACUCCUCAUACUAUGGUCAUCUCCAGGAGUGGUUCCGGCUAUUGUCACGCCGGGGUUGUCGGGUCAUAACACAUAGUAGGUGACUACAACUUGCAAGAUAGGAUCAAGAACACACAUAUAUUUGCGACAACAUAAUAGGUUCAGAUCUGAAAUCAUGGCACUCGGGCCCUGAUACGUCUCCGUCGUAUCUACUUUUCCGAACUCUUUUGCCCUUGUUUUGGACUCUAAUUUGCAUGAUUUAAAUGGAACUAACCCGGACCGACGCUAUUUUCAGCAGAAUUGCCAUGGUGUUGUUUUUGUACAGAAAUAAUAGUUCUCGGAACGUCCUGAAAAUUUACGGAGAUUUUUUCUGGAAUAAAAUAAAAAUGCGUGCGCAAAGAUCCACCGGAGGGGGCGUGCCAGUGGGCCACAAGCCCACAGGCUGCGGCCACCCCCUAUGGUCGCGCCGUGCAGGCUUGUGGGGCCCACGUGGCACCACCGCCCUCAAUCUCAGCUCUAUAUCUUCCGUUUCGCCUGGAAAAAAAAUCAGAGAGAAGGUUUCAUCGCGUUUUGCGAUACAGAGGCGCCGCCACAUCCUUUUCUUCAUCUGGAGGGCAAAUCUGGAGUCCGUUUCGAGCUCCAGAGAGGGGAAAUCAUCGCCAUCGUCAUCAUCAACCUUUCUCCAUAGACAAUUCCAUGAUGUUCUUCAUCGUUCGUGAGUAAUCUCAUCGUAGGCUUGCUGGACGGUGAUGAGUUGGAUGAGAUCUAUCAUGUAAUCGAGUUAGUUCUUGACGGGGAUUGAUCCCUAGUAUCCACUAUGUUCUAGAUUGAUGUUGCUACUACUUGGCUAUGCUUAAUGCUUGUCACUAGGGCCCGAGUGCCAUGAUUUCAGAUCUGAACCUAUUAUGUUGUCGCCAAUAUAUGUGUGUUUUAGAUCCUAUCUUGCAAGUUGUAGUCACCUACUAUGUGUUAUGACCCGGCAACCCCGGAGUGACAAUAGCCGGAACCACUCCCGGAGAUGACCAUAGUACGAGGAGUUCAUGUAUUCACCGUGUGUUAAUGCGUUGGUCCGGUUCUUUAUUAAAAGGAGAACCUUAAUAUCCCGUAGUUUCCAUUAGGACCCCGCUGCCACGGGAGGGAUGGACAAUAGAUGUCAUGCAAGUUCUUUUCCCUAAGCACGUAUGACUACAUAUGGAAUACAUGCCUACAUUAGAUUGACGAACGGGAGCUAGUUACAUAUCUCUCCGUGUUAUAGCUGUUACAUGAUGAAUCACAUCCGUCAUACUCAUCCAUCACCGAUCCACUGCCUACCAGUGUUUUACUACUGGUUCUCGCUACGUUACUUUGCCUAGGCUUGUCCCUUGCUACAAAAGGGAUUGGGCCACUUUGUUGCUGCUGUCACUACUUUUGUUACUUGUUACUCCGCUGCUUAUGCUGCUGCUGUUCCUUGCUACUCCGUUGUUACUUGUUGCAAGACUUUGUUGGAGCCGUAGCCGGGGAAACAUUCCUCUCAAGAAUAAUCCCCCGUCAACGUGCUGGCGCCAUUGAUAGAACAGUUAGGAAUAGUCUGCCGUCAACAGAUCGUUUCUGGCACUGUUGCUAUUAUACUACCUUGCUACUGAUACUUUGCUUGCAGACACUAAUCUUUCAGGUGUAGUUGAAUCUGACACAUUCAGUUGCUAAUACUUGAGAAUAUUCUUUCGCUUCCCGUGUUGGCGAAUCAACAAAUUUGGGUUGAAUACUCUACCCUCGAAAACUGGUGUGAUCCCAUACGCUUGUGGGACAUCAAGGCCUUUUCUGGCGCCAUUGCCGGGGAGGCACAACUAUAUUCUCUGAGUCACUUGGAAUUGACGUCUGCUGAUCACUAUGAGGAAUCCGAAAGAUCCAAGAACUAAAAUCCUAACUUCCACUACGAGGAGAGGUAAGGAACUGCCAUCUAGCUCUGCACUUGAUUCACCUUCAGUUUUGAGUAACUUUGCGACUUCGCCUCCUCCUAGAAAUCUUGAUAUGUCGCCUGUGCUUGAUGAUGCUACUUCUGCUGCUCAUGAUGAUAUGCUUGAUACUAUGCCUGAUGAUGCUAUGCUUGAUAUUAUGCCUCAUGAUGCUAUGCCUGAUACUAUGCCUGAUGAUGCUAUGCUUGAUACUAUGCCUGCUAUGCCUGAUACUGUUUUGCCACUUGGUGCAUUCCUUGAUGCACAUAUUGCUAGAGUUGCUGCUAGAUGUGAUGAUGCUUCUGAAACUGCUGAUAUUAUUGAAGUAGAACCUGCUACUAUGCCUGAUAUGCCUAAUACGCGCUAUGUUAUGGAGGGAGAGACAGCUGGGGACUUUCUUGUGUGUAAGGAUAGAUAUGAUGUUGAGAAACUUUUGUGUAAGUGGAAAGAAAAAUCUCUGAACGCUAGGAUGAAAUACGACCCGAAGUUUGCAACUUCGCCUAUCUUUGUGACCGAUAAGGAUUACGAAUUCUCUGUCGACCCUGAGUUAAUCACUCUUGUCAAAUCUGAUCCCUUUCACGGUUAUGAGUCUGAAAUGGUUGUAGCCCAUCUUACCAAACUACACGAUAUAGCCACCCUAUUCACUAGUGAGGAAAAGAUCCGCCACUACUAUAUGCUCAAGUUGUUUCCUUUCUCGCUAAAGGANNNNNNNNNNNNNNNNNNNNNNNNNNNNNNNNNNNNNNNNNNNNNNNNNNNNNNNNNNNNNNNNNNNNNNNNNNNNNNNNNNNNNNNNNNNNNNNNNNNNCAAAAGCAAAAGACUCAAACUAAACACUAAAGACUUAWYCCACUAAGAGAAGAAAKUAAAAACUGAAAAAGGAAAGAACUAAAACAAAGGUAAAAGCAAAAGAUAUAAAGGUGAUACGAUACCAGGGCAACUCCCCCAAGCUUGGCACAAGCCAAGGGAGUUUCCCAUACCAAUGCUUAGUUGUCUUACUUUGGUGGUGAUGGUGGUGGAGUCUUUGCAGAGGUCUUGAGCUUGUUUAAUUUCCAAUGGAGCAUGAAAUUUUGCUCCCUCAGAUCGUCGUUUUCUUCUUCAAGCUUCAACACCCUUUGGCAUAAUUCUUGCUUACUCUCCUGCAGGAAACGAGAAGGGAUAAAGAAAGUCUUAUGCUUCUUCCUGGAGUUGGCGAGGCUUGACUUCUUGAACUCCACAUGGGUGUUUGCAGGUUGAGGUAGAGGAGCCUCCUCUUCAUCGGAACUCGUUUGUUCCUUCCCCUUGGGAUCAUAGUCUUCUUCCUCAUCGGUGGUCCAGCCAUAUGGUUCCAAGUCCCCAUAGACCUUGGGGUUAGCAAGGUAAUCAGCCACAUAGCUCUCCCCCUCUGAAUCCUGAGGAGACAUCUCGACCUAGAUCUGCGACAGAAAAUAGGCUCGAAAGGAAAAACAGAGGAAAUCUGCGUGAUACGGGGUCAAAACCCUCGGGCGUAUAUAUAAUGAUUUUUUCUGGACCAGAAGGAGUGCUCCGCAAGAAAGCGGAGUCCGGGAGGCACACGAGGUGCCCACAAGCCCUGUAGCCGCGGUCAGGGGGGGGGCGCGGCUACCAAGCUUGUGGCCGCCUCGUGCGCUCUCCGGACUACUUUUUAUUUUUCUAUUUUUCCAUAAAUUACAAAACGGAGAAAAAUUCCUACUGGAAAAGUUUUGGAGUCCAAUUACUUACCGAAACACAUACCUCUUUGUUUUUAGAGUCUGAAACAGGCUGAUAAACAUCCCUUAUGUACUCCUCCGGAGUUAUGAUAUUGAUGAUAUUGCUCUCAACAUUUAUGGGAGUACCAGAGAUAUAAUGCUUGAUUCUUUGCCCAUUUACCACUCUAGGAAAUUUACCUUACGUGUUAUUGAUUUUGAUGGCACCGGAACAAUAUACUUCCUCGACAACGUAGGGACCUUCCCAUUUAGAGAGAAGCUUGCCUGCGAAGAAUCUUAAGCGAGAAUUGUAUAGCAGGACAUAAUCACCUACAUUGAACUCACGUUUUUGUAUUCUUUUAUCGUGCCAUCUCUUAACCUUUUCCUUGAACAACUUGGUAUUCUCAUAUGCAUGGGCCCUCCAUUCAUCUAAUGAGCUGAUAUCAAACAACCGCUUCUCACCGGCAAGUUUGAAAUCGAAGUUGAGCUCUUUGAUUGCCCAAUAAGCUUUGUGUUCUAGCUCAAGAGGUAAAUGACAAGCCUCACCGUAAACCAUUUUAUACGGCAACAUGCCCAUGGGAUUCUUAUAAGCAGUCCUAUAAGCCCAUAGUGCAUCGUCAAGUUUGCUAGACCAAUUCUUUCGAGAUCUAUUGACACUCUUUUGUAAGAUCAAUUUGAUCUCCCUAUUACUCAACUCCACUUGACCACUAGACUGAGCAUGAUAAGGAGAUGCAACUCUAUGGUUGACAUCAUACUUAGCGAGCAUCUUGCGGAAAACACCAUGAAUGAAGUGUGAACUGCCAUUAGUCGUCAGAUAUCUAGGGACUCCAAAUCUUGGGAAAAUGACUUCUUUAAGCAUCUUAAUAGAGGUGUGGUGAUCAACAUUUUUUAGUGGGGAUAGUUUCUACCCACUUAGUGAUGUAAUCCACAACAACUAAGAUGUGAGUGUACCCAUCGGAACUCGGGAAGGGUCCCAUAUAAUCAAAGCCCCAGACAUCGAACGGUUCAAUGACAAGUGAAUAGUUCAUAGGCAUUUCCUCACGUUUACUGAUAUUCCCUAUUCUUUGGCAUUUGUCACAAGACAAGACAAACUUACGGGCAUCCUUUAAGAGAGUGGGCCAAUAGAAACCUAAUUGCAAUACCUUAUGAGCAGUUCUAUCUCCAGCAUGGUGUCCUCCGUAGGCUUCGGAAUGACACUUCUGCAAGAUCUGUCCCUGUUCAUGUUCAGGCACACAACAUCUGAUAACACCAUCUACUCCUUCCUUAUAAAGGUGAGGAUCAUCCCAAAAGUAGUGUCUCAAAUCAAAGAAGAAUUUCUUGUUUUGCUGAUAGGUGAAACUGGGUGGUAUGUAUUUGGCUACGAUAUAGUUUGCGUAAUCAGCAUACACGGUGCAGUAUGUGAAGUGCGGAUGACAUUUAAUUGCUCAUCAAAAAAGUUGUCAUCAAUAGGUCGUGGGUCAUCAAGGACAUUCUCCAGCCUAGACAAGUUAUCUGCUACAGGGUUAUCAGCGCCCUUUCGGUCAACAACGUGCAAAUCAAAUUCCUGUAGCAGGAGAACCCAUCUGAUUAGCCUAGGCUUAGCGUCCUUCUUCUCCAUAAGGUAUUUAAUAGCAGCAUGAUCAGAGUGAAUAGUGACUUUGGAGUCAACUAUAUAAGAACUGAACUUUUCACAUGCAAACACGACUGCUACAAACUCCUUUUCCGUAGUGGCAUAGUUUAUUUGGGCACUGUCUAGAGUUUUACUAGCGUAGUGAAUGACAUUCAACUUCUUGUCAACUCUUUGUCCUAGAACAGCACCAACAGCAUAAUCACUAGCAUCGCACAUGAUUUCAAAGGGCAAGUUCCAGUCAGGUGGUUGAACAAUAGGUGCGGUUAUCAAGGCCUUCUUAAGUAUUUCGAAAGCUUCCUCACAAUACUCAUCAAAAACAAAAGAACAUCCUUCUACAAGAGGUUGGUGAGAGGCCUAGAAAUCUUAGAGAAGUCUUUAAUGAACCUUCUAUAGAAACCAGCAUGACCUAGGAAACUUCGUAUACCUAUGAUAUCUGUGGGGCAAGGCAUUUUCUCAAUUGCAUCAACCUUAGCCUUAUCAACUUCAAUGCCUCUUUCAGAGAUUUUGUGUCCUAAGACGAUGCCUUCAUUAACCAUAAAGUGGCACUUCUCCCAAUUCAAGACGAGGUUGGUAUCUUUGCAUCUCUGUAAGACUCGAUCAAGGUUGUUGAGGCAAUCAUUAAAGGAAGACCCGUAAACGGAGAAGUCAUCCAUGAAAACCUCGACAAUCUUUUCACAAAAGUCAGAGAAUAUAGCCAUCAUACAUCUUUGAAAGGUGGCAGGUGCAUUGCAUAAGCCAAAAGGCAUACGUCUAUAAGCAAAGGUACCGAAGGGGCAGGUGAAAGUGGUUUUCUACUGAUCAGAUUGUGCAACAGGUAUUUGCGAGAAACCUGAAUAACCGUCUAGAAAGCAGAAGUGUGUGUGUUUGGAUAGCCUUUCUAGCAUUUGGUCGAUAAACGACAAAGGAUAAUGAUCUUUCCUGGUUGCCUUGUUCAGUUUUCGGAAGUCUAUCACCAUCUUAUAGCCAAUAAUAAUCCUUUGUGGGAUUAAUUCAUUCUUAUCAUUAGGAACGACGGUGAUACCUCCCUUCUUAGGUACGCAAUGUACUGGACUUACCCAAUCACUAUGAGCAACAUGAUAAAUGAUUCCUGCUUCCAGAAGCUUUAAUAUUUCUUUUCUCAUGACCUCUUCCAUCUUAGGAUUCAAUCUCCUUUGAUGAUCAGCAACUGGUUUGAAGUCAGGAUCAGUUUUAAUCUUGUGCUGGCAUAGAGUAGGACUAAUGCCCUUAAGAUCAUCAAGAGCAUAUCCAAUAGCAUCACGGUGCUUCCUCGGAGUUUUGAGUAACUUUUUUUCUUCAUGCUCUGAGAGGAGAGCACUAAUAAUAACAGGAUAUAUCUCCUUCUCAUCAAGAUAUGCAUAUUUAAUAGUAUCAGGCAACUGUUUUAGCUCGAACACAGGAUCACCCUUUGGUGGGGGAGGAUCCCCAAGCAGUUCAAGAGGCAGAUUAUUCUUGAGAAUAGGAUAUUGUUCUAAGACAAUUUUAUCUAUCUCAUCUCUUUCCUCCAUAUGCAUAUCAUUUUCAUGCUCAAGCAGAUAUUGCUCUAAAGGAUCCGUAGGAGGUAUGGCAAUAGAGGCAAGAGCAAUGAUUUCAUCCCUACCAGAUGACUCUUUUUCAUGGGGUUGUCUUCCAAACUUGGAGAAGUUAAAUUCAUGAGACACACCUUCGUAACUAACAGUAACAGUCUGCUUAAUGCAAUCAAUGUGAGCAUUGAUAGUGUUGAGAAAGGGUCUACCGAAUAUGAUGGGACAAAAGCUAUCUUGUGCAGUACCAAGGAUGAGGAAAUCAGUAGGAUACUUCGUCUUACCACACAUGACCUCUACGUCUCUCACAAUUCCCAGAGGGCAGAUAGUGUCUCUAUUAGCUAGCGUAAUAGUGACAUCAAUGGGUUCUAACUCAGCAGGUGCACUCUCAUAUUUGAUUUCAUCAUAUAGGGAAGGGGUAUUGCACUAACACUAGCUCCCAUAUCACAUAAACCAUGGUAACAGUGAUCUCCUAUCUUGACAGAAACAACGGGCAGUCCAACUACAGGUCUGUAUUUGUCUUUCGCGUGAGGUUUAGCAAUUCUAGCAGAGUCCUCACAUAAUUUGAUAACAUGCCCGUCUAUGUCUUCGGCUAAGAGAUCUUUGAUAAUAGCAACACUAGGUUCAACUCUAAUCUCCUUAGGGGGUGCAAGUGGUCUAAUGUAACCCCUACGUAUCACAGUUGGAGCUUUAGAAUAAUCCUUUAUCCUAGCAGGGUAUGGUGGUUUCUCAGUGUAGGCACAAGGAACAACACGAUCACUAAAAGCAAUGACUUUCUCCUCAACUAAAUUGGUUUUGGCUAUGUUGCUUUCUACAGGAGGAUGAUACUUAAACCACUUCUCUUUGGGAAGAUUAACAUGAGCAGCAAAAGAUUCACAUAGGGAAGCUACUAUCUCAGAGUCAAGUCCAUACUUAGUACUAAAAUCUCUAGAAGUGUUUGUUUCAACAAAAGAUUUAACGCAAUCAAACUGGAAAUUCAUACCUGACUCCUAACCUUUUUCCAGCUCCCAAUCUUUAGAGUUACGUUUGAUUCUUUCCAAUAAAUUCCACUUGUGGUCAAUAUCCUUCUUCAUAAAAGAACCGGUACACGAAGUGUCAAGCAUGGUACGAUCUUCAUGGGAAAGCCGAGCAUAAAAGUUUUGAGUGAUAAUUUCUCUCGAGAGCUCAUGAUUGGGGCAUGAAUAUAGCAUUGAUUUAAGCCUCCCCCAAGCUUGAGCUAUGCUUUCCCUGUCACGAGGCCAAAAGUUAUAAAUAUAAUUCCGAUCACGAUGUACUAAAUGCAUAGGACAGAACUUUUGAUGAAAUUCCAAUUUCAACCGAUUGUAGUCCCAUGAUCCAGUAUCAUCACAUAGCCUAUACCAUGUCAACGCCUUAUCCUUCAAAGAUAAAGGAAAGACUUUCUUCUUUACCUCAUCCUCGGGCAAGCUUGCAAGCUUAAAUAAACCACAAACUUCAUCUACAUAGAUCAGAUGCAAGUCUGGAUGUGAAGAUCCAUCUCGUGUAAAAAGGAUUAGCCAGCAGUUUCUCAACCAUACCCGAAGGAAUUUCAUAAAAGAUAUUUUCAGUAGGUACCUCAGGUUGAGGAACAACUCCUCGUGCUUCCGUUCGUGGUGAAGAUACCCCGAACAAACUCCUCAAAGGAACAGUUUCCAUAGUGACAAGUGACAAUAAAUUUUGGCACAGUAUAUAAAUGUUUCCUUACCAAAUUCCACUUACCAAAGGCGCUUCACUCCCCGGUAACGACGCCAGAAAAGAGUCUUGAUGACCCACAAGUAUAGGGGAUCAAUCGUAGUCCUUUCGAUAAGUAAGAGUGUCGAACCCAACAAGGAGCGGAAGGCUCUGAUAAACGGUUUUCAAUAAGGUAAUAACUGUAAGCACUGAAAGUAGCGGUAACAAGUGAUGAUGUAGCGAGGUGAAACGUAGCAAGUGAAAAGUAACAAGUAACAAGUAGUAGCAAUGGUGCAGAAAGUGGCCCACUCCCUUUUGUAGCAAGGGACAAGCCUGAACAAAGUCUUAUAGGAGGAAAAACGCUCCCGAGGACACACAGGAAUUUCUGUCAUGCUAGUUUCAUCAUGUUCAUGUGAUUCGUUCGUUACUUUGAUAGUUUGAUAUGUGGGUGGACCGGCGCUUGGGUACUGCCCUUACUUGGACAAGCAUCCCACUUAUGAUUAACCCCUCUCGCAAGCAUCCGCAACUACGAAAUAAGAAUUAAGACAACGUCUAACCAUAGCAUUAAACUAGUGGAUCCAAGUCAGCCCCUUACGAAGCAACACAUAGACUGGGGUUUAAGCUUCUGUCACUCCAGCAACCCAUCAUCUACUUACUACUCCACAAUGCCUUCCUCUAGGCCCAAAUAUGGUGAAGUGUUAUGUAGUCGAUGUUCACAUAACACCACUAGAGGAAAAGACAACAUACAACAUAUCAAAAUACCAAACGAAUACGAAAUUCACAUGACUAUUAUUAGCAUGACUUAUCCCAUGUCAUCAGGAACAAAAGUAACUACUCACAAAGCAUAAUCAUAAUCAUGAUCAGAGGUGUAAUGAAUAGCAUCAAGGAUGUGAACAUAAACUCUUCCACCAAGUAAUCCAACUAGAAUCAACUACAAAGAGUAAUCAACACUACUAGCAACCUUACAAGUACCAAUCGGAGUCGCGAGACGGAGAUUGGUUACAAGAGAUGAACUAGGGAUUGGAGAGGAGAUGGUGCUGAUGAAGAUGUUGAUGAAGAUGCCUCCCCUCUGACGAGACGAGUGUUGGUGAUGACGAUGACGACGAUUUCCCCCUCCGGGAGGGAAGUUUUCCCCAGCAGGAUCGUCCUGUUGGAGCUCUAGAUUGGAUCUGCUCAAGUUCCGCCUCGUGGCGGCGGCAUAACCACGAAAAAGCUCCCGAUUGAUUUUUUCUGGAACGAAACCCUUCAUAUAGCAAAAGAGGGGGGCCAGUGGGCCGUCAGGGAGCCCACAAGCCAUGUAGCCGCCACCAGGGGGGUGGCGGCUACCAGGCUUGUGGGUCCCUGGUAGCUCCCCUCUGGUACUUCUUUCGCCCAGUAUUUUUUAUAUAUUCCCAAAAAAUUCCACGUAAAUUUUCACGGCAUUUGGAGCUGUGCAGAAUAGAGGACUCAGAUUUGCUCCUUUUCUAGUCUAGAAUUCCAGCUGCCUGAAUUCUCCCUCUUCAAAUAAACCUUGCAAAAUAAGAGAUAAAAGGCAUAAAUAUGGUACCACAAAGUAAUAUAAUAGCCCAUAAAGCGAUAAAUAUCAACAUGAAAGCAUGAUGCAAAAUGGACGUAUCACUGACCAAAAGCAAUAUGUCCUUGAUGUUGCGCUAGGUGAUGCACCACCCGCUACGACGACCCAAGAUGUUUUAAACGCUUGGCUAUCCCGUAAGGAUGACUACUCAUUAGUUCAAUGUGCAAUUUUGUAUGGCUUAGAACCGGGACUUCAAAUACUUUUGAACGUCAUGGAGCAUAUGCGAUGUUCCAGGAGUUGAAGUUUAUCGUUUAGAAGAAUGCCUGUAUCGAGAGAUAUGAGACCUCUGAUAAAUUCUAUGCUCGCAAAAUGGAGGAGAACGGGUCUGUGAGUGAACACAUACUCAGAAUGUCUGGGUACUCUCACCAUCUAGCUGAGCUGGGGAUUGAAAUCCCGCAAGAGGCUAUCACUAACAGAGUUCUUCAAUCGUUGUCACCUAGCUAUAAGAGCUUCGUGUUGGACUAUAACAUGCAAGGGGUGAAUAAGUCACUCGCCGAGCUAUUCGUGAUGCUGAAAGUCGCAUAGUCAGAAAUCCAGAAAGAGCAUCAAGUGUUGAUGGUCAAUAAGACCACCAGUUUCAAGAAAAACGACAAAGGAAAGAAGGGUAACUCCAAGAAGAGCGGAAAACCUGUUGCCCCUCCGACGAAGAAACCCAAGGCUGGAUCUAAGCCGGAAAGUGAGUGUUAUUAUCGCAAGGGAACUGGUCACUGGAAGCGAAACUGCCCCAAGUAUCUGGCCGAUAAGAAGGCGUCCAAGGCCAAACAAGGUAUAUUUGAUAUAUAUGUUAUUGAUGUGUACCUCACCAACUCUCGUAGUAGUUCCUGGGUAUUUGAUACCAGUUCUUUUGCUCACAUUUGCAACUCAAAACAGGAACUACAGAAUAAACAAAAGGCUGGCGAAGGAUGAAGUGAAGAUGCGCAUGGGAAAUGGUUCCAAGGUUGAUGCGAUCGCCGUCGUCAUGCUCUCACUUCAAUUACCAUCGGGAUUAGCGAUGAACUUAAAUAAUUGUUAUUUAGUGCAUGUGUUGAGCAUGAACAUUAUAUCUGGAUCUUGUGUAUUGUGAGACGGUUACUCAUUUAAGUCAGAGAAUAAUCAUUGUUUUAUUUAUAUGAGUAAUAUCUUUUAUGGUCAUGCACCCAAUGUGAGGGGUUUGUUCAUAUAGAAUCUCGAUUGUGAUGACACUCAUGUCCAUAACAUUGAGACCAAAAGAUGUGGAGUUAAUAAUGAUAGCGUCACUUUCUUGUGGCACUGCCCCUUAGGUCAUAUUGGUGUAAAGCGCAUGAAGAAACUCCAUGCUCAUGGAAUUUUGGAGUCACUUGAUUUUGAAUCACUUGACACAUGCGAACCAUGUCUCAUGGGCAAGAUGACUAAGACUCCGUUCUCCGGAACAAUGGAGCGUGCAACUGACUUGUUGGAGAUCAUACAUACUGAUGUGUGCGGACCGAUGAGCACAGAAGCGCACGGCAGAUAUUGUUAUUUUCUCACCUUCAUUGAUGAUUUGAGUAGGUAUGGUUAUAUCUACUUGAUGAAGCACAAGUUUGAAACGUUUGAAAAGUUCAAGCAAUUUCAGAGUGAAGUUGAAAAUCAUCGUAACAAGAAGAUCAAGUUCCUACGAUCUCAUCGAGGAGGUGAAUAUCUGAGUUACGAGUUUGGUGCUCACUUAAGACAAUGUGGAAUUGUUUCACAGUUGACACCGCCUGGAACACCACAACGCAAUGGUGUGUCCGAACGUUAUCACCCGUGGCGAUGCUUAAGUCCGUUCGAAUCAUGUUAGCAAUAGCUGCAUUUUUCGAUAAUGAAAUCUCGCAGAUGGAUGUCAAAACAACGAUCCUUAAUGGGUUUAUUAAGGAAGAGUUGUAUAUGAUGCAACCCGAAGGUUUUGUCGAUCCAGACAAUGCUGACAAUAUGUGCAAGCUCCAGUGAUCCAUUUGUGGACUGGUGCAAGCAUCUCGGAGUUGGAAUCGGUGCUUUCAUGAGGUGAUAAAGGUGUUUGGGUUUAUACAAGUUUUUGGAGAAUCUUGUAUUUACAAGAAUGUGAGUGGGAGCUCUAUAGCGUUUCUAAUAUUAUAUGUGGUGACAUAUUGCUGAUUGGAAACAAUGUAGAAUUUUUGGAAAGCGUAAAGGAUUACUUGAAUAAAAGUUUUUUAAUGAAGGACGUGGGAGAAGCUGCUUACAUAUUGGGCAUAAAGAUCUAUAGAAAUAGGUCAAGGCACCUGAUAGCACUUUCACAAAGCACAUACCUUGAUCGUGUGAUUUUGUUGCUAUUGUUUUCUGCAUGUCAAGUAUACAUUCCUAUGACCAUGAGAUCAUGUAACUCACUGACACCGGAAGAAUACCUUGUGUGUAUCAAACGUCGCAACUUUACUAGGUGACUAUAAAGGGGCUCUACAGGUAUCUCCAAAGGUGUCCGUUGAGUUAGCAUGGAUCAAGACUGGGAUUUAUCACUCCGUGUGAUGGAGAGGUAUCUCGGGGCCCACUCGGUAAUACAACAUCACAAACAAGCCUUGCAAGCAAUGUGAGUAAAGAGUUAGCCACGGGAUCUUCUAUUAUGGAACGAGUAAAGAGACUUGCCGGUAACGAGAUUGAAAUAGGUAUGUCAAUACCGACGAUCAAAUCUCGGGCACGUAACAUACUGAAGGACAAAGGGAAUGAUAUACGGGAUUGUGUGAAUCCUUGACAUAGAGGUUCAACCGGUAAGAUCUUCAUAGAAUAUGUAGGAUCCAAUAUGGACGUCCAGGUCCCGCUAUUGGAUAUUGACCGGAGAGUGUCUCGGUCAUGUCUACAUAGUUCUCGAACCCGCAGGGUCUGCACACUUAAGGUUCGGUUACGUUUUCAGUAUAGUUGAAUUAUUGAUGUUCGUAACCGAAUGUUGUUCGGAGUCCCGAAUGAGAUCCCGGACCUCACGAGGGUCUCCGGAAUGGUCCGGAAAUGAAGAUUGAUAUAUAGGAUUUGGCUUCCAGAAAGAUUUCAGGCAUUACCGGUAAAGUACCGAGAGUGAUGAAUGGGUUCUCGGGUUUUACCGGGAGGAGCCACCCACCCGGGAGUGGACCUAAUAGGCCCAUGGGUGGCGCACCAGCCCUUAGUGGGCUGGUGAGGCCAUCCCAAUAAGCGUAUUUCGGCCAAAGCAUAAAUAAGAAGGAAAAGGAAAAAAAAGAAGGAAGGAGGUGGACAAGAUGGGAAGGAGUCCUCCGCCAAAAACGAAUUGGAGGAGGACUCCUCCCUCUUGGCUCGGUCGACUCCUCCUACUUGGAGUAGGAGGCAAGCCACCCUCUCUCUUGUUCCUCCUAUAUAUAGUGGAGGUUUGAUAGGCUUUUUGCACCCCCAAACCUUUGUGAAACCGUCUAUCCCUCCACUACUUCGUGACACCCCGUAGCUAGUUCGGUACGGCACGGUGAAGCCCUUCUCGAGUAGCUCCACCAUCAUCAUCGCCAUGCCGUCGUGCUGCCGGAGAAUUCAGCUCCCUCUUCGUCUCUCUUGCUGGAUCAAGAAGGCGGAGAUCGUCAUCGAGCUGUACGUGUGCUAAACGCGGAGGUGCUGUCCGUUCGGCGCUAGAUCGGGACGGAUCGUGGGACGGCGACGAUUUGGAUCACGAAAGCGUUCCACUACAUCAACCACGUUUCUUAACGCUUCCCGCUUAGCGAUCUACAAGGGUAAGUGGAUCCGAUCUCCCUCUCGUAGAUGAUCAUCACCAUGAUAGGUCUUCGUGUGCGUAGGAAACUUUUUGUUUCCCAUGCAAUGUUUCCCAACACUUCGUCGGUAGCACCUUGUCUAGCAGUGGCAAUGCACUGUCAGCCCAGGACGAGCGGGCCCGUUGAUCCCUGAUCAGGCCCAAACGGGCCCAGAUGCGCCGCCGCAUCCCAGAUCCAGGGUGUCGUCGCAUGUUGCCUCGUGCUGCAGCCCCUCCGUCUGCUCGUGCCGCAACCCCUCUACCUGCCUGCGCUGCCCCGCCUCCCACGCGACGGCCGCACGCUGCCCCGCCACCCACGCGCUUCGGCCACGCCACGUCGCCUCCAUCUCGCGCCAGCCGCCCCGCAUUCGCGCUCGCGCUCGCGCCGGUCGGGUUGCGCUCGCACCGGCCGUGCAUCCUCGGUGCCACCCCAAGCCACCGCCGGCCCGACCGCGCGCCUCCACAAUGUCGGUCGUCCCGCGCCGCCCGGACACCUCGUGGGGAGGGAUGAGUCCCACCGCCGCUGGCACGACCGCGCUACCUCCGCAAGGCCGGCCUGCCCCGCACCGCCCGGACGACCGUCGUGGGGAGGGAUGAGGUCCCGCCGUCGCCGGGGACACGACACACCGGUCUUUGAUCGACGGUGUCCCCUGGCGGCGNNNNNNNNNNNNNNNNNNNNNNNNNNNNNNNNNNNNNNNNNNNNNNNNNNNNNNNNNNNNNNNNNNNNNNNNNNNNNNNNNNNNNNNNNNNNNNNNNNNNGUCUCCCACUUGCACUAGAGUCAAUAAUCUAGCCCUCACAUCAUCAUGCGAAUUACAUUGUAAUAAAUCUAACACCCAUAAAGUUCUGGUGUUGAUCAUGCUUUGCCCGUGGAAGAGGUUUAGUCAGCUACAUUCAGAUCCGUGUGCACUUUGCAUAUAUUUACGUCCUCCCCUUCGACGUAGUCGCGGAUGAGGUUGAAGCGUCGUUUGAUGUGUCUGGUCUUCUUGUGAAACCGUGGUUCCUUUGCUAAGGCAAUGGCACCCGUGUUGUCACAGAACAAGGUUAUUGGAUUCAGUGCGCUUGGCACCACUCCAAGAUCCGUCAUGAACUGCUUCAUCCAGACACCCUCCUUAGCCGCCUCCGAGGCAGCCAUGUACUCCGCUUCACAUGUAGAAUCAGCUACCACGCUUUGUUUGGAACUGCACCAGCUUACUGCACCCCCAUUAAGAAUAAAUACGUAUCCGGUCUGCGACUUAGAGUCGUCCGGAUCCGUGUCAAAGCUUGCAUCGACGUAACCCUUUACGACGAGCUCUUCGUCACCUCCAUACACGAGAAACAUUUCCUUAGUCCUUUUCAGGUACUUCAGGAUAUUCUUGACCGCCGUCGAGUGAUCCACUCCUGGAUUACUCUGGAACCUGCCUGCCAUACUUAUGGCCAGGCUAACGUCCGGUCUAGUGUACAGCAUUGGAUACAUGAUAGAUCCUAUGGCUGAAGCAUAGGGGACGGUGCUCAUAUGCUCUCUAUCUUUAUCAGUUGCUGGGCACUGAGUCUUACUCAAUCUCGUACCUUGUAAAACUGGCAAGAACCCUUUCUUGGACUGUUCCAUUUUGAACCUUUUCAAAACUUUAUCAAGGUAUGUGCUUUGUGAAAGUCCUAUCAGGCGUUUCGAUCUAUCCCUGUAGAUCUUAAUGCCUAGAAUGUAAGCAGCUUCUCCUAGGUCCUUCAUAGACAAAAUUUUAUUCAAGUAAUCCUUUAUGCUCUCCAAAAACUCUACGUUGUUUCCAAUCAGCAAUAUGUCAUCCACAUAUAAUAUUAGAAACACCACAGAGCUCCCACUCACUUUCUUGUAAAUACAAGAUUCUCCAACCACUUGUAUAAACCCAAAUGCUUUGAUCACCUCAUCAAAGCGUUUGUUCCAACUCCGAGAUACUUGCACCAGUCCAUAAAAGGAUCGCUGGAGCUUGCACACCUUGUUAGCAUUCUUAGGAUCGACAAAACCUUCGGGUUGCAUCAUAUACAACUCUUCCUUAAGGAACCCGUUAAGGAACGCCGUUUUGACAUCCAUCUGCCAGAUUUCAUAAUUGAAAAAUGCAGCUAUUGCUAACAUGAUUCUGACAGACUUAAGCAUCGCUACGGGUGAGAAUGUCUCAUCGUAGUCAACUCCUUGAACUUGUGAAAAACCUUUUGCCACAAGUCGAGCUUUAUAAACAGUCACAUUGCCGUCAGCGUCCGUCUUCUUCUUAAAGAUCCAUUUGUUCUGAAUAGCCUUGCGGCCCUCAGGUAGUAUUUCCAAAGUCCACACUUUGUUUUCAUACAUGGAUCCUAUCUCGGACUUCGUGGCCUCCAGCCAUUUGUUGGAAUCUGGGCCCACCAUUGCUUCUUCAUAAUUUGCAGGUUCAUUGUUGUCUAACAACAUGAUUGACAAAACGGGAUUACCGUACCACUCUGGAGCAGCAUGUGGUCUCGUCGACCUGCGUGGUUCGAUAGGAACUUGAACCGGAGUUUCAUGAUCAUCAUCAUCAACUUCCUCCUCAACCGGCGUCGCAAUGACAGGGGUUUCCCCUUGCCCUGCGCCACCAUCCAGAGGGAUGAGAGGUUCGACAACCUCAUCAAGUUCUAUCUUCCUCCCACUCAAUUCUCUCGAGAGAAACUCCUUCUCGAGAAAAGCUCCGUUUUUAGCAACAAACACUUUGCCCUCGGAUUUGAGAUAGACGGUGUCCCCAACUGUCUCUUUUGGGUAACCUAUGAAGAUGCACUUUUCCGCUUUGGGUUCCAGCUUUUCAGGCUGAAGCUUUUUGACAUAAGCAUCACAUCCCCAAACUUUAAGAAACGACAACCUUGGCCUUUUGCCAUACCACAGUUCGUAUGGUGUCGUCUCAACGGAUUUUGAUGGUGCCCUAUUUAAAGUGAAUGCAGCUGUGUCUAAUGCAUAACCCCAAAACGAUAACGGCAAAUCGGUAAGAGACAUCAUAGAUCGCACCAUCUCUAAUAAAGUACGAUUACGACGUUCGGACACACCAUUACGUUGUGGUGUUCCAGGCGGUGUCAACUGUGAAACAAUUCCACAUUGUCUUAAGUGGGCACCAAACUCGAAACUUAGAUAUUCACCCCCACGAUCAGACUGUAGGAACUUGAUCUUCUUGUUACGAUGAUUUUCAACUUCACUCUGAAAUUGCUUGAACUUUUCAAAUGUUUCAGAAUUGUGCUUCAUUAAGUAGACAUAACCAUAUCUACUCAAAUCGUCAGUGAAGGUGAGAAAAUAACGAUAUCCGCCGCGUGCCUCCACGCUCAUCGGACCGCACACAUCGGUAUGUAUGAUUUCCAGUAAGUCACUGGCACGCUCCAUUGUUCCGGAGAACGGAGUUUUAGUCAUCUUGCCCAUGAGGCAUGGUUCGCACGUGUCAAGUGAAUCAAAGUCAAGUGACUCCAAAAGUCCAUCGGUAUGGAGUUUUUUCAUGCGCUUUACACCAAUAUGACCUAAGCGGCAGUGCCACAAAAACAUGGCGCUAUCACUGUUAACUCUAACUCUUUUGGUAUCAAUGUUAUUUUUAUGUGUAUCACUAUCAAGAUUCAAUAUGAACAAUCCUCUCACAUUGGGUGCAUGACCAUAAAAGAUAUUACUCAUAGAAAUAGAACAACCAUUAUUCUCUGACUUAAAAGAGUAUCCGUCUCGCAAUAAACAAGAUCCAGAUAUAAUGUUCAUGCUUAACGCAGGCACUAAAUAACAAUUAUUUAAGUUCAUAACAAAUCCUGAUGGUACCUGAAGUGAGACUGUGCCGUCGGCGAUUGCAUCAACCUUGGAACCAUUUCCCACGCGCAUCGUCACUUCAUCCUUUGUCAGCCUUCGUUUAUUCCGCAGUUCCUGCUUCGAGUUGCAAAUAUGAGCAACAAAACCGGUAUCAAAUACCCAUGCACUACUACGAGAGUUGAUUAAGUACACAUCAAUAACAUUAUAUCAAAUAUACCUGAUUUUUCCUUGGCGGCCUUCUUAUCAGCCAAAUACUUGGGGUAGUUGCGCUUCGAGUGACCCAUUCCCUUGCAAUAAUAACACUCUGUUUCAGGCUUAGGUCCAGCCUUGGGUUUCUUCAUCGGAUUGUCAACAGGCUUGCCGGUCUUCUUAGAGUUACCCUUCUUGCAUUUGCCGUUUCUCUUGAAACUAGUGGUCUUAUUGACCAUCAACACUUGAUGCUGUUUUCGGAGUUCUAACUGCGACUUUCAGCAUCGCGAAUAACUCGCCGGGUGACUUGUUCAUCCCUUGCAUGUUAUAGUUCAACACAAAGCUCUUAUAGCUAGGUGGCAGUGAUUGAAGAAUUCUGUCAGUGAUAGCCUCUUGCGGGAGUUCAAUCCCCAGCUCAGCUAGAUGGUUUGAGUACCCAGACAUUUUGAGCACAUGUUCACUGACAGACGAAUUCUCCUCCAUCUUGCAAGCAUAGAAUUUAUCGGAGGUCUCAUACCUCUCGAUCCAGGCAUUCUUCUGAAAGAUAAACUUCAACUCCUGGAAGAACUCAUAUGCUCCAUGACGCUCAAAGCGACAUUGAAGUCCCGGUUCUAAGCCAUACAAGACUGCACAUUGAACUAGUGAGUAGUCCUCCUUACGUGUUAACCAGGCGUUCAAAACAUCUUGAUUAGACGUAGCGGGUGGUUCAUCUCCUAGCGCUGCAUUAAGGACAUAAUCCUUCUUCCUAGCUUGCAAGAGCAGCUUUAGAUUACGAGCCCAGUCUACAAAGUUGCUUUCAUCAUCUUUCAACUUAGCUUUCUUUAGGAACGUAUUGAAAUUCAAGGUUGCUACUGCGUGAGCCAUUGAUCUACAACAUAAAAUAUUGCAAAGCGGACUUAGACUAUGUUUAAGAUAAUUAGAGUUUAACUAAUCAAAUUACUGAUAAACUCCCACUCAAAAAGUACAUCUCUCUAGUAAUUUGAGUGGUACAUGAUCCAAAUCCACUAACUCAAGUCCGAUCAUCACGUGGGUUGAGAAAAGUUUCAGUGGUAAGCAUAUCUAUGCUAAUCAUAUCAACUAUACGAUUCAUGCUCGACCUUUCGGUCUCUUGUGUUCCGAGGCCAUGUUUGCACAUGCUAGGCUCGUCAAGUUUAACCCGAGUGUUCCGUGUGUGCAACUCUUUUGCACCCGUUGUAUGUGAACGUUGAGUCUAUCACACCCGAUCAUCACGUGGUGUCUCAAAACGAUGAACUGUCGCAACAGUGCACAGUCGGGGAGAACACAAUUUCAUCUUGAAAUUUUAGUGAGAGAUCACCUUAUAAUGCUAUCGUCGUUCGAUGCAAAAUAAGGUGCAUAAAAGGAUUAACAUCACAGGCAAUUCAUAAGUGGCAUGAUAUGGCCAUCAUCAUGUGCUUCUUGAUCUCCAUCACCAAAGCACCGGCAUGAUCUUCUUGUCACCGGCGCCACACCAUGAUCUCCAUCAUCAUGCCGCCAUCGAGGUUGUCGUGCUAUCUAUGCUAUUACUACUAAAGCUACAACCUAGCAAUAUAGUAAACGCAUCUGAAACACAAAUGUUAGUUUAAAGACAACCCUAUGGCUCCUGUCGGUUGUCGUAGCAUCGACGUGCAAGUAGAUAUUAACUAUUACUACAUGAUCAUCUCAUGCAUCCAAUAUAUCACAUCACGUCAUCGGCCAUAUCAUAUCACAAGCAUACCCUGCAAAAACAAGUUAGACGUCCUCUAAUUUGUGGUUGCAUGUUUUACGUGGCUGCUAUGGGUAUCUAGUAUGAUCGCAUCUUACUUACGCAAAAACCACAAUGGAGAUGUGCAAAUUGCUAUUUAACCUCUCUCCAAGGACCGCCUCGGUCAAAACCAAUUCAACUAAAGUUGAAGAAACUAACACCCGCCAGUCAUCUUUAUACAACGAGUUGCAUGUCAGUCGAUGAAACCAGUCUCUCGUAAGCGUACGAGUAAUGUCGGUCCGGGCCGCUUCAAUCCAACAAUACUGCCGAAUCGAGAAAAGACUAAGGAGGGCAGCAAAUCGAACAUCAAUGCCCACAAAACCUUUUGUGUUCUACUUGAGAUAACAUCUACGCAUGAACCUAGCUCUUGAUGCAUGGGAAACAAAAAAAUUCCUACGCACACGAAGACCUAUCAUAGUGAUGUCCAUCUACGAGGGGAGAUUAGAUCUACGUACCCUUGUAGAUCGCUAAGCGGGAAGCGUUAAGAAACGUGGUUGAUGUAGUGGUACAGCUUCGUGAUUCAAAUCACCGUCGUCCCACGAUCCGUCCCACGUUCUGUUCCGAUCUAGCGCCGAACGGACGACACCUCCACGUUCAGCACACGUACAGCUCGAUGACGAUCUAGGCCUUCUUGAUCCAGAAAGAGAGACGGAGAAGUAGAUGAGUUCUCCGGCAGCGUGACGGUGCUCCGGUGGUGGUGAUGAUCUACUCCUGCAGGGCUCUGCCCAAGCUCCGUAGAAAUCCAAUAUAGAGGAAGAACUCGUGGUAUAGGUUUGAGUUGCACGUGGCAAAAAGUGGUGUCUCAAAAAGCCCUAAAAACCACCAAUAUAUAUAGGAGGAGAGGAGGGGCUAGCCUUGGGGCUCAAGGGAGCCCCAAGGGCACCGACCGAAGGAGGAGGUGGACUCCCACCCCAAUUCGGUUUGGGGGAAGGAGUCCACUCCUUCCUUCCCACCUCCCUCUUUCUUUCUUUUUUUCCUUUGGUAUUUUCCCUUGUGGCGCCAUGGCCCUAUACCAGCCCAAUAAGGGCUGGUGUGCCACACUAGGGUCACUGGGCUCACUCCCGGGUGGGUGGGCCCCUCCUGGUGAAUACCCGGAACCCAUUCGUCACACCCGGUACACUGCCGGUAAUGCCCGAAACUUUCUGGUGACCAAAUGAAACCAUCCUAUAUAUCAAUCUUCGUUUUCGGACCAUUCCAGAAACCCCCUUGACGUCCGUGAUCUCAUCCGGGACUCCGAACAACAUUCGGUAACCACACAUAUAACUCAACUAUACUAAAACAUCAUCGAACCUUAAGUGUGCAGACCCUCCGGGUUCGAGAACUUGUAGACAUGACCCAAGACACUCCUCGGUCAAUAUCCAAUAGCGGGACCUGGAUGCCCAUAUAGGAUCCUACAUAUUCUCUGAAGAUCUUAUCGGUUGAACCUCUGUGCCAAGAAUUCAUAUAAUCCCGUAUGUCAUUCCCUUUGUCCCUCGGUAUGUUACUUGCCCGAGAUUCAAUCGUCGGUAUCGGUAUACGAAUUUCAAUCCCAUUAUCGACAAGUCUCUUUACUCGUUCUGUAAUACAAGAUCCCGUGACUUAUACUUAGUCACAUUGAUUGCAAGGCUUGUUUGUGAUGUUGUAUUACCGAGUGGGCCCCGAGAUACCUCUCCGUCACACGGAGUGACAAAUCCUAGUCUUGAUCCAUACUAACUCAACGGACACCUUCGGAGAUACAUGUAGAGCACCUUUAUAGUCACCCAGUUAUGUUGCGACGUUUGAUACACACAAGGUAUUCCUCCGGUGUCGGUGAGUUAUAUGAUCUCAUGGUCAUUGGAAUAAAUACUUGACACACUGAAAACUAUAGCAAUAAAAUGACACGAUCACAUGCUACGUUCAUAGUUUGGGUCUAGUCCAUCACAUGAUUCUUCUAAUGAUGUGAUCCAGCUAUCAAGUGACAACACUUGCAUAUGGUCAGAAAACCUUGAUCAUCCUUGAUCAACUGGCUAGCCAACUAGAGGCUUGCUAGGGACAUUGUUUUGUCUAUGUACCCACACAUGUAUCUAUGUUUUCAUUCAAUACAAUUAUAGCAUGGAUAAUAAACGAUUAUCUUGAAACGGGAAAUACAAUAAUAACUAUUUUAUCAUUGCCUCUAGGGCAUAUUUUCAACAGAGAUAUCAUCUAUGCAAGAACCUAGAUCUGAUACCACUGUUGGGAAUGUUACAUGGGAAACAAAAAUUUCCUAAGCACACAAAGACCUAUCAUGGUGAUGAUCAUCUACGAGAGGGAGAUCGGAUCCACAUACCCUUGUAGAUCACUAAACGGGAAGCGUUAAGAAAUGUGUUGAUGUAGUGGAACGUCUUUGCGAUCCAAAUCGCCGUCGUCCCACGAUCCGUCCCUAUUCAGUACAUGUACAACUCGAUGACGAUCUCCGCCUUCUUGAUCCAGCAAGAGAGAUGAAGAGGUAGUUGAACUCUCUGGCAGCACGACGGUGUGGCGGUGAUGAUGGUGGAGCUACUCUGGCAUGGCUUCACCGUGCCGUACCGAACUAGCUACAGGGUGUCACGAAGUAGUGGAAGGAGAGAGGGUUGCACAAAGGCUUGGGGUGCAAAAAGUAUCUCAAACCUCCACUAUAUAUAGGAGGAACAAGAGGGAGGGUGGCUUGCCUCCUACUCCAAGUAGGAGGAGUCGUCCAAGCCAAGAGGGAGAAGUCCUCCUCCAGUUCGGUUUGGUGAAGGACUCCUGCCCAUCUUGUCCACCUCCUUCCUUCUUUUUUUCCUUUUGCUUCUUAUUUUUGCUUUGGCCGAAAUAGGCUUAUUGGGAUGGAUUCACAAGCCCACUACGGGACGGUGCGCUACUCAUGGGCCUAUUAGGUCCUCUUCCAGGUGGGUGAACCCUUCUGGUAAAACCUUCUCGUAAAACCCCAGAACCCAUUCGUCACUCCCGAUACUUUACCGGUGAUGCUCGAAAUCUUUCCGAAAGCCAAAUGCAACAAUCCUAUAUAUCAAUCUUCAUUUCCGGACCAUUCUGGAGACCCUCGUGAUGUAUGGGAUCUCAUCCGGGACUCCAAACAACACUUAGUUACCAACAUCAAUAAUUUAACUAUACCGAAAACGUCACCGAACCUUAAGUGUGCAGACCUUGCGGGUUCGAGAACUAUGUAGACAUGACCGAGACACUCUCCGGUCAAUAUCCAAUAGCGGGACAUGGACAUCCAUAUUGGAUCCUACAUAUUCUACAAAGAUCUUAUCGGUUGAAUCUCUAUGUCAAGGAUUCACACAAUCCCAUAUAUCAUUCCCUUUGUCCUUCGGUAUGUUACUUGCCCGAGAUUUGAUCAUCGAUAUCGACAUACCUAUUUCAAUCUCGUUAUCGGCAAGUCUCUUUACUCGUUCCGUAAUACAAGAUCCCAUGGCUAAAUAUUUAGUCACAUUGCUUGCGAAGCUUACUUGUGAUGUUGUAUUACCGAGUGGGCCCCGAGAUACCUCUCCGUCACAUGGAGUGACAAAUCCCAGUCUUGAUCCAUGCUAACUCAACGGACACCUUCAGAGAUACCUGUAGAGCACCUUUAUAGUCACCCAGUAACGUUGUGACGUUUGAUAAACACAAGGUAUUCCUCCGGUGUGAGUUAGUUACAUGAUCUCAUGGUCAUAGGAAUGUAUACUUGACAUGCAGAAAACAAUAGCAACAAAAUGACACGAUCAUAUGCUACGUGUAUAGUUUGGGUCUUGUCCAUCACAUCAUUCUCCUAAUGAUGUGAUCCCGUCAUCAAGUGACAACACUUGUCUAUGGCUAGGAAACCUUAACCAUAUUUGAUCAACGAGCUAGUCAACUAGAGGCUCACUAAGGACAUUGUUUUGUCUAUACAUCCACACAUGUAUUUAUUUUCCAUUCAAUACAAUUAUAGCAUGGAUAAUAAACGAUUAUCUUGAAACAGGAAAUAUAAUAAUAACUAUUUUAUUAUUGCCUCUAGGGCAUAUUUCCAACACGAAGGUGGUGGUGAUGCUACCUCGAGGGUGCAGAGGUUGCGAGGUGGUGGUGGGGAGAGCCGGAGAGGAAUGGCACAACCGUCUAGUGGCAUUGCAUCCUUCGGGUUUGUGGUGGCCGACAGGUGACGAGUGGCGCUGCCGAUGGGCGUUGCAUCCACCCGUUCGAUGCAGGGAAGCAAAUGUAGGAUUGGCAGCAGGUCGGUUUGUCGUGGGAGCCGCUUGAGGUGGCCAUCGUCACCACUGCCAGUGGUAUGGAAUGGCCUGUAGUCGGUGGUGUGGUGUGGCUACUGGCUCUCAAUGGCUUGUGCGUUGAUUGUGGGGAUGAUGUUGGGCCGGGAGAAAUUUGAUGCUAUUGUGGACGAGGUGACACAUGCGGGCGCCGUGACCUUCUUGAAGGCGUCGUCUAGGCCCUUAUCAUCCUCUUCCCGUGCAACGGGGUAAACCCCAGAUCCAGCUAGCUGGUUCAAGCAGUGGCAUAGGUAUGGCGUUGUUACCUUCUUGAAGGCACUCUUCGGGUUGCUCCCGGAGUCCCACUACAGAGUUUGGUGCUAGAGUUGGCCUCCACUUAGAGUGUGGGCCCCUAGGGCGCAAUGUACACUGAUCCGGCAUCUCUUUGACGACGCUUUCCUCAGGUCCAGCCGGGUCCUUCAGUCCACUCGCCACUCUAUUUUUGGCGACAUGGGUGGUUUGUACGUUGACACGGGCUUGCCUGGGGUUUGGUUUGUGCUUUGAGUUGUUUGCUUCGGUUGUGAAGCGGUCUUGUGGCUCUAUGCCCUGACCUCUCACCAUCUUGGCAGAGUUUAGGCAAGGCUUGCCCUUGUUGUUGUGCGUGUAGUUGUGCGUUGUAAGCCGGUUGGCAAUUCUUGUAUGUUUUUUGGUCCGGUUUUCCUUAUAAACUGGACCAAUCCUUCUUCUUUAGUACAACCCCCGGACACAACGACGGCUCACAAAAAAGGGCAGGAUGAUCUUUUCCCCCCGUUCUGACGUACGUGCGUCAGCCCCGCGGCGCUAGCGGACGGUUGGGUGACGUACACGUACCGAGGGGGUACGCGUCGUAGCCGCGUCAGCCGGCAUGAUGUGUCGUCUCCACGUCAGCCCGCAUCACCCUGACCGCGGUCAAAUCAGACCCCUUCGUGCCGAUUCCAGAUUGACCGUCGGUUCCAGAGGCCGCCGCCAUUGAUCCCGCCUGCAUCGUCGGUUCGCUGUCUCCCGAGGCCCGGCGCAUUAACGCGUGAAGCCGCCACCUAUUGACCGUCGGUCCACCGUCUCCCGAGGCCUGACGCAUUAACGCCUGAUGUCGCUGCCUAUUGACCGUCGGUCCGACCAUCUCGGUUGGAAAUAUGCCCUAGAGGCAAUAAUAAAUUAGUUAUUAUUAUAUUUCCUUGUUCAUAAUAAUCUUUUAUUAUCCAUGCUAAAAUUGUAUUGAUUGGAAACUCAAAUACAUGUGUGGAUACAUAGACAACACACUGUCCCUAGUGAGCCUCUAGUUGACUAGUUCGUUGAUCAAAGAUGGUCAAGGUUUCCUGACCAUAGGCGAGUGUUGUCAAUUGAUAACGGGAUCACAUCAUUAGGAGAAUCAUGUGAUGGACAAGACCCAAAUUAUACACGUAGCAUAUUGAUCGUGUCAUUUUAUUGUUAUUGUUUUCUGUGUGUCAAGUAUUUGUUCCUAUGACCAUGAGAUCAUAUAACUCACUGGCACCGGAGGAAUGCCUUGUGUGUAUCAAACGUCACAACGUAACUCGGUGACUAUAAAGGUGCUCUACAGGUAUAUCUGAAGGUGUCCGUUGAGUUAGUAUGGAUCAAGACUGGGAUUUGUCACUCCGUGUGACGGAGAGGUAUCUCGGGGCCCACUCGGUAAUUACAACAUCACACACAAGCCUUGCAAGCAAUGUGACUAAGUGUAAGUCACAGGAUCUUGCAUUACGGAACGAGUAAAGAGACUUGCUGGUAACAAGAUUGAAAUAGGUAUGCGGAUACCGACGAUCGAAUCUCGGGCAAGUAACAUACCGAAGGACAAAGGGAAUGACAUACGGGAUUAUAUGCAUCCUUGGCACUUACAUUCAACCGAUAAGAUCUUCGGAGAAUAUGUANNNNNNNNNNNNNNNNNNNNNNNNNNNNNNNNNNNNNNNNNNNNNNNNNNNNNNNNNNNNNNNNNNNNNNNNNNNNNNNNNNNNNNNNNNNNNNNNNNNNACUAACCCCAAGUCCGAUCAUCAUGUGAGAUGAGGUGGUUUCAAUGGUGAACAUCUCCAUGUUGAUCAUAUUUACUAUAUGACUCAUGCUCGACCUUUUGGUCUCCUGUGUUACGAGGCCAUGUAUGCACAUGCUAGGAUCAUCAAGUUUAACCCAAGUAUUUUCAUGUGCAAAACUGGCUUACACCCAUUGUAUCGAAGAGUCUAUCACACAUGAUCAUCAUGAGGUGCUUCAAAACGACAAACUUUUGCAACGGUGCAUACUUGGGGAGAACACAUUUUAUCUUGGAAUUGAGUGAGGCAUCAUCUUAUAAUGCUACCGUCUUCCUAAGCAAAAUAAGAUGCAUAUAAAGAUAAACAUCACAUGCAAUCAAUAAGCAACAUUAUAUGGCCAUCAUCAUCUUGUGCUUCCGAUCUCCAUCUUCAAAGCACCGUUAUGAACUCCAUAGUCACCGGCAUGACACCAUGAUCUCCAUCAUCCUAUCAUCACGUAGUUGUCUCGCCAAGUAUUGCUUCUACAACUAUUGCUAACACAUAGCGAUAAAGUAAAGCAAUGUCAUACAAUAAUUUAGAGACAACCCUAUGGAUCAUGCUUGUUAGACGUCGUUCUCAUCAACAUGCAAGUCGUGAUAACUAUUACAAAAAUAUGAUCAUCUCAUACAUCACAUAUAUCCAAUCACGUCUUGGCCAUAUCAUAUCACAACAUACCCUGCAAAAACAAGUUAGACGCACUCUACUUUGUUGGUGCAAGUUUUACGUGGUUGCUGUGGGAAACUAGCAAGAACCGUUCUUACUUGCACAAAGCCACAUCGGUGAUAAUCAAGUUGCCUUUUAAUCUUCUACAAGGACCGCCUUUGUCAAAUUCGAUUCAACUAAAGUGGGAGGGACAGACACCCGCCAGCCACCUUUAUGCAAUACAAAUUGCAUGUUCCUUAGUGGAACCGGUCUCUUGUGCGAGGACAAGUAAGGUUGGUCUGAGGCGAUUCAUCCCACAAUACUGCCGAAUAAAAAUAAGACAUGGGAGGUAAGAAAUCUGAACAUAAACUCCCACAACUUCUUUUGGUUCCACCCGUGCAUAUGAUCAACAAAUAGACCUAGUUCAUGAUGCCACUGUUGCGGAACGUUGCAUGGGAAACAAAAAAAAUCCUACGAACACCCAAGAUCUAACUAUGGAGAUGCAUAUGAAUGAGAGGGGAGAGUGUGUCUACAUACCAUCAUAGACCGUUAAGUGGAAGCAUAUAUUAUGUGAUUGAUGUAGUCAUAUUCUUCGGGAUCCAAUCUCAUCUAGCACCAAACGGACGACACAUUCGCAUUCAGCACACCUACGGCUCGAUGACGUCUCUGCCUCCUUGAUCCAGCAAGCGAGGCCUAAGAAGUAGAUGGGAUAUCAACCAACACGAUGUCAUGGUGAAGAUGGUCGUGGUGCACUGCCAACAGGGCUUCGCCAAGCGCCUCUCGGAUGACGAACGAGGAAGAACUCGGGAAGAUGGAAUAGGGGCUGACCAAGGGAGGGAAAAGGAAUUGGUGCAAGGCUUCCCUCCCCAUCCCUCCUAUAUAUAUAGGAGCAAGGGGGAGGGGCGCAACCCCCCUUUUCCCCUCCUCCAAGGAGGGUGUGAUUGCCCUAGGGAGGAGGAGUGACCUCCAAGCCAAGUGGAGGGCCCUCCCCCUUAUGGUUUCCCUUCCUCCUAGGCAUAUGGGCCUUGUGGGGCUAGUUCUCCUGGCCCGAUAAGGCCAGGACGCCACCCCUACAUACCAUGCAUGCCCUAGGGGCUGGAGGAACCCUUUCGGACUCCUCCGGAACCUUUCGUAAGCUUCCCGAUACAAUACCAGCAAAUCCCGAAACUUUUCAGGUAGCCAAAAUAUGACUUCCUAUAUAUAAAUAUUUACCUCCGAACCAUUACGGAACUCGUCGUGACGUUCGGGAUACCAUCUGGGACUUCGAACAACAUUCGUUCACCAACGUACAUAUCCCCAUACUACUCUAGAGUCAUCGAACGUUAAGCCUGCGGACCCUAUGGGUUCGAGAAUCAUGUAGACAUGAAUGAGACACCUCUCCGGUCAAUAACCAAUAGGUGGACCUCGAUUCCCAUAUUUUUUCCUACAUAUUUCACAAAUAUAUUUAUCAGUUGAACCACGACGUAAAGGAUUCAGUUAAUCCCAUAUGCAGAUCCCUUUGUCCAACAGUAUGUUACUUGCCCGAGAUUCGAUCAUCGGUAUCUCCAUACCUAGUUCAAUCUCGUUACGUGCAAGUCUUUUUACUCGGUCUAGAAUACAAUUGUUGGAAUUAUGCCCUAGAGGCAAUAAUAAAUAUAGUUAUUAUUAUUAUUCCUGUAUCAAGAUAACCGUUUAUUAUCCAUGCUAUAAUUGUAUUGAAUGAAGACUUAUAUACAUGUGUGGAUACAUAGACAAAACACUGUCCCUAGCAAGCCUCUAGUUGGCUAGCCAGUUGAUCAAAGAUAGUCAGGGUCUUCUGAUUAUAUACAAGGUGUUGUUGCUUGAUAACUGGAUCACGUUAUUAGAAGAAUCACGUGAUGGACUAGACCCAAACUAAUAGAUGUAGCAUGUUGAUCGUGUCAUUUUGUUGCUACUGUUUUCUGCGUGUCAAGUAUUUGUUCCUAUGACCAUGAGAUCAUAUAACUCACUGACACCGGAGGAAUGCUUUGUGUGUAUCAAACGUCGCAACGUAACUGGGUGACUAUAAAGUUGCUCUACAGGUAUCUCCGAAGGUGUUCAUUGAGUUAGUAUGGAUCAAGACUCGGAUUUGUCACUCCGUGUGACGGAGAGGUAUCUCGGGGCCCACUCAGUAAUACAACUUCACACACAAGCCUUGCAAGCAAUGUAACUUAGUGUAAGUUGCGGGAUCUUGUAUUACGGAACGAGUAAAGAGACUUGCCGGUAAACGAGAUUGAAACAGGUAUGCGGAUACUGACGAUCGAAUCUCGAGCAAGUAACAUACCGAAGGACAAAGGGAAUGACAUACGGGAUUAUAUGAAUCCUUGGCACCGAGGUUCAAACGAUAAGAUCUUCGUAGAAUAUGUGGGAUCUAAUAUGGGCAUCCAGGUCCCGCUAUUGGAUAUUGACCGAGGAGUCACUCGGGUCAUGUCUACAUAGUUCUCGAACCCGCAGGGUGUGCACACUUAAGGUUCGACGUUGUUUUAUGUGUAUUUGAGUUAUAUGGUUGGUUACCGAAUGUUGUUCGGAGUCCCGGAUGAGAUCACGGACGUCACGAGGGUUUCCAGAAUGGUCCGGAAACGAAGAUUGAUAUAUAGGAUGACCUCAUUUGAUUACCGGAAGGUUUUCGGAGUUACCGGGAAUGUACCGGGAAUGACGAAUGGGUUCCGGGUGUUAGCCGGGGGGGCAACCCACCCCGGGGAAGCCCAUAGGCCUUGGGGGUGGCGCACCAGCCCUUGGUGGGCUGGUGGGACAGCCCAAGAGGGCCCUAUGCGCCAAGGAUAGAAAAUCAAAGAGAAAAGAAAAAAAAAGAGGUGGGAAAGGAGAGAAGGACUCCACUUUCCAAUUCUAGUUGGACUAGGAUUGGAGGAGGACUCCUCCUCCCCUUGGUGCGCAGUCCUUGGGGAUCCUUGAGCCUCAAGGGAAGCCUCCCCUCCCUCCUCCUAUAUAUAUGGAGCAAUUAGGGCUGAUUUGAGACAACUUUUCAAAGGCAGCCCGACCACAUACCUCCACGGUUUUACCUCUAGAUCGCGUUUCUGCGGAGCUCGGGCGGAGCCCUGCCGAGAUCAGAUCACCACCAACCUCCGGAGCGCCGUCACGCUGCCGGAGAACUCAUCUACCUCUCCGUUUCUCUUGCUGGAUCAAGAAGGCCGAGAUCAUCAUCGAGCUGUACGUGUGCUGAACGCGGAGGUGCCGUCCGUUCGGCACUAUAUCGUGGGACGGAUCGCGGGACGGUUCGCGGGGCGGAUCGAGGGACGUGAGGACGUUCCACUACAUCAACCGCGUUCACUAACGCUUCUGCUGUGCGAUCCACAAGGGUACGUAGAUCGGAAAUCCCCUCUCGUAGAUGAACAUCACCAUGAUAGGUCUUCGUGCGCGUAGGAAAAUUUUUGUUUCCCAUGCGACGUUCCCCAACAGUGGCAUCAUGAGCUAGGUUCAUGCGUAGAUGUCUUCUCGAGUAGAACACAAAAGGUUUUGUGGGCGGUGAUGUGCGUUUUGCUGCCCUCCUUAGUCUUUUCUUGAUUCCGCGGUAUUGUUGGAUUGAAGCGGCUUGGACCGACAUUACUCGUACGCUUACGAGAGACUGGUUUCAUCGCUACGAGUAACCCCCUUGCUCAAAGAUGACUGGCAAGUGUCGGUUUCUCGAACUUUAGUUGAAUCGGAUUUGACCGAGGAGGUCCUUGUAUAAGGUUAAAUAGCAAUUCAUAUAUCUCCGUUGUAGUGUUUGCGUAAGUAAGAUGCGAUCCUACUAGAUACCCAUGGUCACCACGUAAAACAUGCAACAACAAAAUUAGAGGACGUCUAACUUGUUUUUGCAGGGUAUGCUUGUGAUGUGAUAUGGCCAACGAUGUGAUGUGAUAUAUUGGAUGUAUGAAAUGAUCAUGUUGUAAUAGAUUAUAUCGACUUGCACGUCGAUGGUACGACAACCGGCAGGAGCCAUAGGGUUGUCUUUAAACUAACGUUUGUGCUUGCAGAUGCGUUUACUAUUUUGCUAGGAUGUAGCUUUAGUAGUAAUAGCAUGAGUAGCACGACAACCCCGAUGGCGACACGUUGAUGGAGAUCAUGGUGUGGCACCGGUGACAAGAAGAUCAUGCCGGUGCUUUGGUGAUGGAGAUCAAGGAGCACGUGAUGAUGGCCAUAUCAUGUCACUUAUGAAUUGCAUGUGAUGUUAAUUCUUUUAUGCACCUUAUUUUGCUUAAAACGACGGUAGCAUUAUGAGGUGAUCUCUCACUAAAAUUUCAAGACGAAAUUGUGUUCUCCCCGACUGUGCACCGUUGCUACAGUUCGUCGUUUCGAGACACCACGUGAUGAUCGGGUGUGAUAGAGUCAACGUUCACAUACAAUGGGUGCAAAACAGUUGCACACGCGGAACACUCGGGUUAAGCUUGACGAGCCUAGCAUGUGCAGACAUGGCCUCGGAACACAUGAGACCGAAAGGUCGAUCAUGAAUCAUAUAGUUGAUAUGAUUAGCAUAGGGAUGCUUACCACUGAAACUAUACUCAACUCACGUGAUGAUCGGACUUGAGCUAGUGUAAGUGGGUCAUGAACCACUCAAAUGACUAGAGAGAUGUACUUUUUGAGUGGGAGUUUAGCAAGUAAUGUGAUUAAGUUAAACUCUAAUUAUCUUGAACAUAGUCUAAGUCCACUUUGAAUAUAUUUGUGUUGUAGAUCAUGGCUCACGCGACAGUCACCCUGAAUUUUAAUACGUUCCUAGAGAAAGCUAAGUUGAAAGAUGAUGGAAGGAACUUUGUAGACUGGGCUCGUAAUCUUAAGUUGAUCCUACAAGCUGGGAAGAAGGAUUAUGUCCUUAAUGCUGCGCUAGGAGAUGAAUCACCCGCUACGGCUGACCAGGAUGCUAAGAACGCUUGGUUAACACGUAAGGAGGACUACUCAGUAGUUCAAUGUGCAGUCUUGUAUGGCUUAGAACCGGGACUUCAACGUCGCUUUGAGCAUCAUGGAGCAUAUGAGAUGUUCCAGGAGUUGAAGUUUAUCUUUCAGAAGAACGCCCGGAUCGAGAGGUAUGAGACCUCCGAUAAAUUCUAUGCUUGCAAGAUGGAGGAGAAUUCAUCUGUCAGUGAACAUGUGCUCAAAAUGUCUGGGUACUCAAACCGUCUAGCUCAGCUGGGGAUUGAACUCCCGCAAGAGGCUAUCACUGACAGAAUUCUUCAAUCACUGCCGCCAAGCUAUAAGGGUUUUGUGUUGAACUACAACAUGCAAGGGAUGAACAAGUCACCCGGCGAGUUGUUUGCGAUGCUGAAAGUCGCAGAGUCUGAACUCCGUAAAGAGUAUCAAGUGUUGAUGGUGAAUAAGACCACUAGUUUCAAGAGAAACGGCAAAGGCAAGAAGGGCAAUUCAAAGAAGAGCGGCAAGCCUGUUGCCAAUCCGACGAAGAAACCCAAAGCUGGACCUAAGCCUGAAACAGAGUGCUACUAUUGCAAGGGUAUGGGUCACUGGAAGCGCAACUGCCCCAAGUAUCUGGCUGAUAAGAAGGCGGCCAAAGAAAAAUCAGGUAUAUUUGAUAUACAUGUUAUUGAUGUGUACUUAACCGGCUCUCGUAGUAGUGCCUGGGUAUUUGAUACCGGUUUUGUUGCUCAUAUUUGCAACUCGAAGCAGGAACUGCGGAAUAAACGAAGGCUGACAAAGGAUGAAGUGACGAUGCGCGUGGGAAAUGGUUCCAAGGUUGAUGCAAUCGCCGACGGCACAGUCUCACUUCAGGUACCAUCAGGAUUUGUUAUGAACUUAAAUAAUUGUUAUUUAGUGCCUGCGUUAAGCAUGAACAUUAUAUCUGGAUCUUGUUUAUUGCGAGACGGUUACUCGUUUAAGUCAGAGAAUAAUGGUUGUUCUUUUUCUAUGAGUAAUAUCUUUUCUGGUGGUGCACCCAAUGUGAGAGGAUAGUUCAUAUUGAAUCUUGAUAGCAAUAAUACACAUAUACAUAACAUUGAGACCAAAAGAUGUAGAGUUAACAAUGAUAGCGCCAUGUUUCUGUGGCACUGUCGCUUAGGUCAUAUUGGUGUAAAGCGCAUGACGAAACUCCAUUCUGAUGGGCUUUUGGAGUCACUUGAUUUCGAAUCACUUGACACGUGCGAACCAUGCCUCAUGGGCAAGAUGACUAAGACUCCGUUCUCAGGAACAAUGGAGCGCGCAAGUGACUUGUUGGAGAUCAUACAUACCGAUGUGUGCGGUCCAAUGAGUGUGGAGGAGCGCGGCGGAUAUCGUUAUUUUCUCACCUUCACUGACGAUAUGAGUAGGUAUGGAUAUAUCUACUUGAUGAAGCACAAGUCUGAAACGUUUGAGAAGUUCAAGCAAUUUUAGAGUGAAGUUGAAAAUCAUCCUAACAAGAAGAUAAAGUUCCUACGUUCUGAUCGUGGGGGUGAAUAUCUGAGUUUUGAGUUUAGUGCUCACUUAAGACAAUGUGGAAUUGUUUCAAAGUUGACACCGCCUGGAACACCACAUCGUAAUGGUGUGUCCGAACGUCGUAAUCGUACUUUGUUAGAAAUGGUGAGAUCUAUGAUGUCUCUUACCGAUUUGCCGGUAUCGUUUUGGCGUUAUGCAUUAGAGACAACUGCAUUCACUUUAAAUAGGGCACCAUCAAAAUCCGUUGAGACAACAACAUACGAGCUGUGGUAUGGCACAAAACCAAAGUUGUCGUUUCUUAAAGUUUGGGGAUGUGAUGCUUAUGUCAAAAAGCUGGAACCCAAAGCGGAAAAGUGCGUCUUCAUAGGUUACCCAAAGGAGACAGUUGGGUACACCUUCUAUCUCAAAUCCGAGGGCCUAGUGUUUGUUGCUAAGAACAGAGCUCUUCUUGAGAAGGAGUUUCUCUCAAAAGAAUUGAGUGGGAGGAAGAUAGAACUUGAUGAGGUUGUCGAACCUCUAAUCCCUCUAGAUGGUGGCGCAGGGCAGGGGGAAACCUUUGUCGAAGCGACGUCAGUUGAGGAGGAAGUUAAUGAUGAUGAUCAUGAAACUUCGGAUCAAGUUCCUAUCGGACCUCACAGGUCGACAAGAUCACGUACUGCUCUUGAGUGGUACGGUAAUCCUGUCUUAUCAAUCAUGUUGUUAGACAACAAUGAACCUGCGAAUUAUGAAGAAGCAAUGGUGGGCCCGGAUUCCAACAAAUGGUUGGAGGCCAUGAAGUCCGAGAUAGGAUCUAUGUACGAAAACAAAGUGUGGACUUUGGAAGUAUUACCUGAAGGCCGCAAGGCUAUUCAUAACAAAUGGAUCUUUAAGAAGAAGACUAACGCAGACGGUAAUGUGACCGUUUAUAAAGCUCGACUUGUGGCAAAGGGGUUUUCACAAGUUCAAGGAGUUGACUACGAUGAGACGUUCUCACCAGUAGCGAUGCUUAAGUCCGUCCGAAUCAUGUUAGCAAUAGCUGCGUUUUUCGAUUAUGAAAUCUGGCAGAUGGAUGUCAAAACGGCGUUCCUUAACGGUUUUCUUAAGGAAGAGUUGUAUAUGUUCCAACCCGAAGGUUUUGUCGAUCCAAAGAAUGCUAACAAAGUAUGCAAGCUCCAGCGAUCCAUUUAUGGACUGGUGCAAGCANNNNNNNNNNNNNNNNNNNNNNNNNNNNNNNNNNNNNNNNNNNNNNNNNNNNNNNNNNNNNNNNNNNNNNNNNNNNNNNNNNNNNNNNNNNNNNNNNNNNAAUCUUGUUCAAUUCUCUUAGGAUGACCCUCAGGAUACAAAGGUUCCUCGGUCAUUCUACCGCCUCUAGUGACGACUCUAACAGAAUUGUCGUUCAACUCAUUGAGCAAGUCAUUUUGAGCCUUAAGUACUUGUUCUACUUGAGUAGUAACCUGUAACAUCCCAAAAUUAUAAAUUUUGGAAUGUUAAUAUAAUUAUUAGAUUGAUUGUUUGUUUGUUUGCUGAGUGAUUGAAACUUGUGUGAAAUUCGAAACUUUUGAAUGAGAGGGAAUAAAAUGACUUUCCCCUUCUCCGGUGAAUUCAAAUUCAAUCUUUUAAAAACAACGAGAGAAGAUGACAUGACUUCUUCAACUAUAAAGAAUUUGAACGGAGAUGUUUGCAUUUGAAUUUUCCUUGCAUUUCCAUUCGUUUUCUUCGUGCAACAAAAUGCCGGGGAGUACAUUUUAAAGAGCGGAGGAACAUGACCCUCAAAUACCCGGUCAAUUUUGAAUGUUAUUUGCACCCUCAAACUUAGAGGAUCAUUUGAAAAUUAUUUGCAAAAAGAAAUAAUGCUUUUAGGGAUUUUUGGAAAAACAUUUUUUCUGAAGUUUUUAUUUUUGCCGUGGAAAAAUGCCCAUCAUUUAUAUUUUAUUUUUCUGAUAAUUUUAGUAUAUAAAAACUCUUUAUUCCGAAUUGAUUUGAUUUCCUUUUUAUCGUUUUAGUUUCCUAGUUUUGAAAAUAGGAAAGAAAUUGUUUCUAUUAGGAAUAGGAGCUGGCCCAUUAAGACUUUCCUUUCACUAGCCCAACAAGAGAUCAUCUUCUUCCUCCUUUCUUCUCCACGUGACAGAAACUUGACAUCCAUGGAGAGGAGAAUCCCCACCUCCGGGAUUCGCGAAGCUCUUUCCCUCCCAGCACCUCCCGUCGCCCCUAUAAGAACCCCCACACCCUCCUCUAUCCAUUUUCCCCAAGAACCAUACCUCUCCUCGCCUCUAGCCGCAGCCCCCGCCUCGCCAGAGUUCAUCUUCAACAGGAACUCGCCGGAGGUCCUGUUGCCUCCUCUCGUCGCCCCACGCCCCGCCGGCACCACCAACCUUCGGCCGGAGCCCUCCUCCCCCGCCUGGACCCCUCCGCUGCCUCGGCCGGCCACCGGAGCCACCUUCCCGUCGUCUUCUCCAACUCCGGCGACUAACUCCGGUGAGAUUCACGAAAUCCCGUAUUGCAGUUUUUUCAGAAAAUUGCAAUCUUAGAAAAUUCAUAUCUAUUAGUCUAUAACUCCGAAUUAGGUGAUUUUUUUCGUUGGAUCACAAAUUUUAUGCCGUUUCUGUAGAUAUAUAAUUUGUCUAUGUUUGGUUUUAUAAAAAUUGAGUUAGAUCAGAUUUGAAUUAAAGCUUGUUUUGCUUAUUCCGGGAGUUUAAAAAUAGCUUUUAAUUUGAUUCUUUUUGCUACUGCUUCCUAUUGAUCAUAUCUUUCAGUAGUUUCAGUUUCAGUUUUUUUUACAUAUUUUUACUUGGGGUUUUUACCAAAACAAUUUCUGUUUCACCGCUUUUAGGAUUUCGGCUAAUUCGUUUUAUACUUUUGUUUUAAAAUAUUUUCUUUAUUAUUUCAGAAACAUUAUUUUGUUUUGUCUCUGUUAGUUAACACUAGUUUUGCAACAAAUUUUUAUUUUAUUUUUAUUUGUUUUCAUGAAAUCAAUUCUAGUUCCUUAGUAACUUGCAAUUGUUUUCACCGUUGUUUCAAAUCCCGUUUGGGAAUACUUUCAAAAAGUUUUGUGAAAAAUACUUUAUUUUAUCUUAGUUAGAUUUAUAUCUUAGUUCCUUGUUAUUAUUUUCUAUUAGACAAAAACUAUUUAGUGUUUGACGUAGUAGAAGACUCUCUAGUCUUAUUUGAAGUGUCCUUCGGAUUCCUAUUCGCUCUCUCUUUUGUUUUGAUUGCUAGAAUGAUUGCUAGUAUGAGUGCUUAUGUGAAUGAUAUGUUUGUUAUAUAGAUUUCAUUGGAGAGUGGCGAGUAGUCUAUCAAGUUAUUUUCUCGAGAAAUUCUUCUUCGUCAACAUCACCAANNNNNNNNNNNNNNNNNNNNNNNNNNNNNNNNNNNNNNNNNNNNNNNNNNNNNNNNNNNNNNNNNNNNNNNNNNNNNNNNNNNNNNNNNNNNNNNNNNNNAUAAAUUUUGGAAUGUUAAUAUAAUUAUUAGAUUGAUUGUUUGUUUGUUUGCUGAGUGAUUGAAACUUGUGUGAAAUUCGAAACUUUUCGAAACUUUUGAAUGAGAGGGAAUAAAAUGACUUUCCCCUUCUCCGGUGAAUUCAAAUUCAAUCUUUUAAAAACAACGAGAGAAGAUGACAUGACUUCUUCAACUAUAAAGAAUUUGAACGGAGAUGUUUGCAUUUGAAUUUUCCUUGCAUUUCCAUUUGUUUUCUUCGUGCAACAAAAUGCCGGGGAAUACAUUUUAAAGAGCGGAGGAACAUGACCCUCAAAUACCCGGUCAAUUUUGAAUGUUAUUUGCACCCUCCAACUUAGAGGAUCAUUUGAAAAUUAUUUGCAAAAAGAAAUAAUGCUUUUAGGGAUUUUUGGAAAAACAUUUUUUCUGAAGUUUUUAUUUUUGCCGUGGAAAAAUGCCCAUCAUUUAUAUUUUAUUUUUCUGAUAAUUUUAGUAUAUAAAAACUCUUUAUUACGAAUUGAUUUGAUUUCCUUUUUAUCGUUUUAGUUUCCUAGUUUUGAAAAUAGGAAAGAAAUUGUUUCUAUUAGGAAUAGGAGUUGGCCCAUUAAGACUUUCCUUUCACUAGCCCAACAAGAGAUCAUCUUCUUCCUCCUUUCUUCUCCACGUGACAGAAACUUGACAUCCAUGGAGAGGAGAAUCCCCACCUCCGGGAUUCGCGAAGCUCUUUCCCUCCCAGCACCUCCCGUCGCCCCUAUAAGAACCCCCACACCCUCCUAUAUCCAUUUUCCCCAAGAACCAUACCUCUCCUCGCCUCUAGCCGCAGCCCCCGCCUCGCCGGAGUUCAUCUUCAACAGGAACUCGCCGGAGGUCCUGCUGCCUCCUCCCGUCGCCCCACGCCCCGCCGGCACCACCAACCUUCGGCCGGAGCCCUCCUCCCCCGCCUGGACCCCUCCGCUGCCUCGGCCGGCCACCGGAGCCACCUUCCCGUCGUCUUCUCCAACUCCGGCGACUAACUCCGGUGAGAUUCACGAAAUCCCGUAUUGCAGUUUUUUCAGAAAAUUGCAAUCUUAGAAAAUUCAUAUCUAUUAGUCUAUAACUCCGAAUUAGGCGAUUCUUUUCGUUGGAUCACAAAUUUUAUGCAGUUUCUGUAGAUAUAUAAUUUGUCUAUGUUUGGUUUUAUAAAAAUUGAGUUAGAUCAGAUUUGAAUUAAAGCUUGUUUUGCUUAUUCCGAGAGUUUAAAAAUAGCUUUUAAUUUGAUUCUUUUUGCUGCUGCUUCCUAUUGAUCAUAUCUUUCAGUAGUUUCAGUUUCAGUUUUUUUACAUAUUUUUACUUGGGGUUUUUACCAAAACAAUUUCUGUUUCACCGCUUUUAGGAUUUCGGCUAAUUCGUUUUAUACUUUUGUUUUAAAUUAUUUUCUUUAUUAUUUUAGAAACAUUAUUAUGUUUUGUCUCUGUUAGUUAACAGUAGUUUUGCAACAAAGUUUUAUUUUAUUUUUAUUUGUUUUCAUGAAAUCAAUUCUAGUUCCUUAGUAACUUGCAAUUGUUUUCACCGUUGUUUCAAAUCCUGUUUGGGAAUACUUUCAAAAAAUUUUGUGAAAAAUACUUUAUUUUAUCUUAGUUAGAUUUAUAUCUUAGUUCCUUGUUAUUAUUUUCUAUUAGACAAAAACUAUUUAGUGUUUGACGUAGUAGAAGACUCUCUAGUCUUAUUUGAAGUUUCCUUCGGAUUCCUAUUCGCUCUCUCUUUUGUUUUGAUUGCUAGAAUGAUUGCUAGUAUGAGUGCUUAUGUGAAUGAUAUGUUUGUUAUAUAGAUUUCAUCGGAGAGUGACGAGUAGUCUAUCAAGUUAUUUUCUCGAGAAAUUCUUCUUCGUCAACAUCACCAGGCAAGUCACUUUGAUCAUACUAUCACCCAUGUUUUAUGCAUUGUAGUUCUACCAUCCUAUGCCCAAUUGCAUGCUGCCUAGGUACUUGGAAACUUUAGUGUAAGAGUAGUAUCAUGUGGUAGGAACACAACAUCCCCGAUACUUGGCCCCGGGACGACAAUUUCUUAAUGCUAUGCUUGAGUAGACGGGUUAUCGGUUGAGUGUAUACCACGAGUGAUGCGAGGUUGAUAUAAUAAUCAAGACCGGACUAAGACAAGAUUUUCAAGACCUCGGACGCAAUGCAACACUGGGUGAAGGACGGUCGAUCGGCUCCCUGGAAAACCCAGUGGAUCCCCGGGAUGCUGGAGAGGCCAUGUCAUCCUGCGGAAAGCUUCACCCAGGCUCAAAGAGACGGACGGAUAUUUUCAAGACCCAAGGCUUACCUGCACAGCCACAAGUCAUUAUGGGCUCUGGCUUGGUUGGACAACGCGGCGACUCUUAACAGGCGGUGCUAGCAGAUGUAGACGAACGGUAGGAAUGGAUGGGCACCGACAGGGAUUCAGAGGGACCCGUUGAAAGACCAUGUUUUGAUCAUCCGGUCUUCAAACACCCUGAAGUGCGAGGACAUACACGGAGGCGAUCAAAUCUUGUGGGGAACGUGUGCAAAACUCUGCAGAGUACUCAAACCUAAUCGAUUAGCCGUGUCCACGGUCAUGGAAAACUUGAGCCAAAGGAACUGAAGUUAUCUGGAUUUCUCAACACCAUUAAAUGUAUUUGAUGAGGGUAAUUAUUGACAACUCGGGUACGAGAACUGGUUGGCGGAACCAUCUCGUUAACAACAAACCUUGUAGUAACAUUUUGCUUUCAACCCCUCUUGUUGUAGGAUAAAACUGGCUUUAUGCAAAACUUAGCUCCACCGACCAAAUAUGCAUGUAGAGAUAGUUGAUUAUUAUUUUACCCCUCUCUUAUGUGACUUGCCGACAUAUUCAAUAUGCUGACCUACACGGCUGCAACGUCUCAUGUUGCAGAUAUUUUUCUUCGACGAGUAAGAGUACGAUUCAGGGUUACGGUCUACACUCAACUUGCCGUUGGUGUUUAUUGGGACUCCACUCCCUUGACUGCUUCCGCUGAGAUAUUUAAGGUAUAUAUUAGUUUUACGCUAUUUACAUGUGAUUGCACUUUGAUAUAUACAUUGAUGUACUGUGUGUGCCAGCAUACUGAUCCAGGGAUGGCACAGAUACACAGAGGCUUGACUCGUCUUGAGUCGGGUCGCUACAUAACCAUAGAGGCAUGUUUACUCAAUAGCUUAAGAUCAUUGAUGUUUCUGUCCACACAAGCACUUAAAUGACUAAGCAUACGAGCAUUCCAUUCCAAUUGUGUGCUAACAUAAUCAUUGAAACUUUUUUGUUUGGCAACAAAGUUAUCAAAUUCAUCCAGGCAUAAGCUAGCAGGUUUAUCAAAAGGAAUGUCACUCUCAUUGAAUCUACGAAGAGAAUUUACCUCUACUACGUGUAUCGGGUUAUCAAGACCAUGGAUCUCUUCGAUAGGUGGUAGAUUUUUGACAUCUUCAGAUUUAAUGCCUUUCUCUUUCAUAGAUUUCUUAGCUUCUUGCAUAUCUUCAGGACUGAGGAAUAGAAUAACUCUUUUCUUAGGAGUUGUCUUAGGAGGUGGUUCGGUAAUAGUCCAAGCAUUCUCAUUGCACAAGAUAUUAUUCAAUAGGAUCUCAGCUUGUUCUACGGUUCGUUCUGUAAAAAACACAACCAACACAACUAUCUAGGUGGUCUCUAGAAGCAUCGGUUACUCCAUUAUAGAAGAUAUCAAAUAUUUCAUUCUUCUCAAGAGGGUGAUCAGGCAAAGCAUUCAGUAGCUGGACGAGCCUCCCCCAAGCUUGUGGGAGACUCUCUUCUUCAACUUGCACAAAGUUGUAUAUUUCCUGCAAGGCAGCUUGCUUCUUAUGGGCAGGGAAAUAUUUCUCAGAGAAGUAGUAGAUCAUAUCCUGGGGGCUACGCACACAACCAGGAGUAAGAGAAGUGAACCAAGUCUUAGCAUCAUCCUUUAGUGAGAAAGGAAACAGCUUGAGGAUAUAGUAGUGGCAGAUCUUUUCCUUACUCGUGAAUAGGGUGGCUAUAUCGUGCAGUUUGGUAAGAUGGGCUACAACUGUUUCAGACUCAUAACCGUGAAAAGGAUCUGAUUUGACCAGAGUGAUUAACUCAGGGUCGACGGAGAAUUCAUGAUCCUUAUCGGUCACAAAGAUAGGCGAAGUUGUCGGAUCGUAUUUCAUCCUAGCGUUCAAAGAUUUUUCUUUCCACUUGCGCAGUAAUUUCUCAACAUCAUAGCUAUCCUUACAAGCAAGAAAGUCCUCAGCUAUCUCUCCCUCCAUAACAUAACCCUCAAGCAUAUCAGGCAAUUCAUAUCUAGGAGAGCUAGUUUUAAUAGGCAAAAUAGCAGGUUCUACUUCAAUAAUCUCAGCAGUUUCAGAAGUAUCAUCACAUCUAGCAACAACUCUAGCAAUUUGUGCAUCAAGGAAUGCACCUAGUGGCAAAGCAGUAUCAAGCAUAGCAUCAUCACAAGUAUCAUGGAUAGCAGAAGCAGCAUCAUCAAGCACAUGCGAUACAUCAAAAUUUCUAGCAGGAGGUGGUGUCGCAAACUUACUCAUAACUGAAGGUGAAUCAAGUGCAGAGCUAGAUGGCAGUUCCUUACCUGUCCUCGUAGUUGAGGGCAAGACUUUAGUUUUGGGAUCUCUCGAAUUCCUCAUAGUGAUCAGGAGACGUAAAUCCCAAGUGACUCAGAGAAUAUAGCUAUGCCUCCCCGGCAACGGCGCGAGAAAAAGGUCUUGAUAACCCACAAGUACAAGGGAUCGCAACAGUUCUCGAGGGUAGAGUAUUCAACCCAAAUUUGUUGAUUCGACACAAGGGGAAGCCAAAGUAUAUUCUCAAGUAUUAGCAGUUGACUUCUCAAUUCAAACACACCUGAAAGACUUAUAUCUGUAGAAAAGUAUUAGUAGCAAGGUAGUAUGAUAGCAGCAGUAGCAACGGUGACGAGUAGCAGCAAAGUGACAGCAGUAGCAGCAGUAACAGCAGUAGCGACAAAGUAACAUAGCAAGGACCAGUAGGAAAAACUCAUAGGCAUUGGAUCGAUGAUGGAUAAUUAUGCCGGAUGUUAUUCAUCAUGCAACCGUUAUAACACGGAGAGAUAUGUAACUAGCUCCAGUUCAUCAAUGUAAUGUAGGCAUGUAUUCCGCAUGUAGUCAUACGUGCUUAGGGAAAAGAACUUGCAUGACAUCUAUUGUCCAUCCCUCCCGUGGCAGCGGGGUCCUAAUGGAAACUACUGGAUAUUAAGGUUCUCCUUUUAAUAAAGAACCGGACCAACGCAUUAACACUUAGUGAAUACAUGAACUCCUCAUACUAUGGUCAUCUCCAGGAGUGGUUCCGGCUAUUGUCACGCCGGGGUUGUCGGGUCAUAACACAUAGUAGGUGACUACAACUUGCAAGAUAGGAUCAAGAACACACAUAUAUUUGCGACAACAUAAUAGGUUCAGAUCUGAAAUCAUGGCACUCGGGCCCUGAUACGUCUCCGUCGUAUCUACUUUUCCGAACUCUUUUGCCCUUGUUUUGGACUCUAAUUUGCAUGAUUUAAAUGGAACUAACCCGGACCGACGCUAUUUUCAGCAGAAUUGCCAUGGUGUUGUUUUUGUACAGAAAUAAUAGUUCUCGGAACGUCCUGAAAAUUUACGGAGAUUUUUUCUGGAAUAAAAUAAAAAUGCGUGCGCAAAGAUCCACCGGAGGGGGCGUGCCAGUGGGCCACAAGCCCACAGGCUGCGGCCACCCCCUAUGGUCGCGCCGUGCAGGCUUGUGGGGCCCACGUGGCACCACCGCCCUCAAUCUCAGCUCUAUAUCUUCCGUUUCGCCUGGAAAAAAAAUCAGAGAGAAGGUUUCAUCGCGUUUUGCGAUACAGAGGCGCCGCCACAUCCUUUUCUUCAUCUGGAGGGCAAAUCUGGAGUCCGUUUCGAGCUCCAGAGAGGGGAAAUCAUCGCCAUCGUCAUCAUCAACCUUUCUCCAUAGACAAUUCCAUGAUGUUCUUCAUCGUUCGUGAGUAAUCUCAUCGUAGGCUUGCUGGACGGUGAUGAGUUGGAUGAGAUCUAUCAUGUAAUCGAGUUAGUUCUUGACGGGGAUUGAUCCCUAGUAUCCAGUAUGUUCUAAAUUGAUGUUGCUACUACUUGGCUAUGCUUAAUGCUUGUCACUAGGGCCCGAGUGCCAUGAUUUCAGAUCUGAACCUAUUAUGUUGUCGCCAAUAUAUGUGUGUUUUAGAUCCUAUCUUGCAAGUUGUAGUCACCUACUAUGUGUUAUGACCCGGUAACCCCGGAGUGACAAUAGCCGGAACCACUCCCGGAGAUGACCAUAGUAUGAGGAGUUCAUGUAUUCACCGUGUGUUAAUGCGUUGGUCCGGUUCUUUAUUAAAAGGAGAACCUUAAUAUCCCAUAGUUUCCAUGAGGACGCCGCUGCCACGGGAUGGAUGGACAAUAGAUGGCAUGCAAGUUCUUUUCCCUAAGCACGUAUGACCACAUAUGGAAUACAUGCAUACAUUAGAUUGACAAACAGGAGCUAGUUACAUAUCUCUCCGUGUUAUAGCUGUUACAUGAUCAAUCACAUCCGUCAUACUCAUCCAUCACCGAUCCACUGCCUACGAGUCUUUUACUACUGGUUCUCGCUACGUUACUUUGCCUAGGCUUGUCCCUUGCUACAAAAGGGAUUGGGCCACUUUGUUGCUGCUGUCACUACUUUUGUUACUUGUUACUCUGUUGUUGCUGCUACUGCAGUUCCUUGCUACUCCGUUGUUACUUGUUGCAAGACUUUGUUGGAGCCGUAGCCUGGGAAGCAUUCUUCUCAAGAAUAAUCCCCCGUCAAUGUGCUGGCGCCAUUGAUACAACAGUUAUGAAUAGUCUGCCGUCAACAAAUCAUUUCUGGCACCAUUGCUAUCAUACUACCUUGCUACUGAUACUUUGCUUGCAGACACUAAUCUUUCAGGUGUGGUUGAAUCUGCUAAUACUUGCGAAUAUUCUUUCGCUUCCCGUCUUGGCGAAUCAACAAAUUUGGGUUGAAUACUCUACCCUCGAAAAUUGUUGCGAUCCCAUACGCUUGUGGGACAUCAAGGCCUUUUCUGGCGCCGUUGCCGGGGAGGCACAGCUAUAUUCUCUGAGUCACUUGGGAUUGACGUCUGCUGAUCACUAUGAGGAAUCCGAAAGAUCCAAGAACUAAAAUCCUACUUCCACUACGAGGAGAGGUAAGGAACUGCCAUCUAGCUCUGCACUUGAUUCACCUUCAGUUUUGAGUAAGUUUGCGACUUCGCCUCCUGCUAGAAAUCUUGAUAUGUCGCCUGUGCUUGAUGAUGCUACUUCUGCUGCUCAUGAUGCUAUGCUUGAUAUUAUUUUCGAUGAUGCUAUGCUUGAUACUAUGCCUGAUGAUGCUAUGCUUGAUACUAUGUCUGAUGAUGCUAUGCUUGAUACUAUGCAUGCUAUGCCUGAUACUGCUUUGCCACUUGGUGCAUUCCUUGAUGCACAUAUUGCUAGAGUUGCUCCUAGAUGUGAUGAUGCUUCUGAAACUGCUGAUACUAUUGAAGUAGAACCUGCUACUAUGCCUGAAUUGCCUGAUAUGCCUGAUACGCGCUAUGUUAUGGAGGGAGAGAUAGCUGAGGACUUUCUUGCGUGUAAGGAUAGCUAUGAUGUUGAGAAACUUCUGCACAAGUGGAAAGAAAAAUCUUUGAAUGCUAGGAUGAAAUACGACCCGAAGUUUGCAACUUCGCCUAUCUUUGUGACCGAUAAGGAUUAUGAAUUCUCUGUCGACCCUGAGUUAAUCACUCUUGUCGAAUCUGAUCCCUUUCACGGUUAUGUGUUUGAAACGGUUGUAGCCCAUCUUANNNNNNNNNNNNNNNNNNNNNNNNNNNNNNNNNNNNNNNNNNNNNNNNNNNNNNNNNNNNNNNNNNNNNNNNNNNNNNNNNNNNNNNNNNNNNNNNNNNNGCGUAUGACGUUGAAACAUCUCGCUAGCUAUCUUACGAUCAUGCAAUGGCAAUAUGAGAGUGACGGCACAAGUCAUGAGACGGAACGGUGGGAGUUGCAUGGCAAUAUAUCUCGGAAUGGCUAUGAAAAUGCCAUAGUAGAUAUAUAUGGUGGCUGUUUUUGAGGAAGGAAUUUGGUGGGUUUGUGCACCGGCGAGAAUUGCGCGGCACUAGAGAGGCUAGCAAUGGUGGAAGGUUAAAGUGCAUCUAUAGCAUGGACUCACAUUAGUCAUGAACAACUCACAUACUUGUUGUGAAAGUUUUUAUUAGUAAUCGAAACAAAGUGCUAAACGCAUACUCCUAGGGGAAGGGUUGGUGGGUGUUAACCAUCGCGCGAUCCCGACCUCAACACAAAGGAUGACAAUCAAUAGAUCAAUUAUGCUCCGACUUACUAACAUAGCGGUUCACCAUACGUGAAUGCUACGGGAAACACUAACUUCAACACAAGUAUUUCUAGAUUCACAACACCCUACUAACAUAGCUCUUAAUAUUACCGAAUCCACGUCUCAAAACUAAUUGAGAGGAAUCAAAACUUCUCUUUCUACUCAAUGCACAUGAAGAUGGAGGUUUUUGCAUCCUCUUUGGGUACCUAUCACAUUUGGGACUACUUUCAUAGCAUAAGCCAACUACCAAGUCACGCACCGCCGUGCUCUAAAAUAUAUAAGUGAAGCACAUAGAGCAAAAGUAUCUAGCUCAAAAGAUAUAAGUGAAGCACUAUGAGCAUUCUAGCAAAAUCACGAUGAGUGCAUGUCUCUCUCUCUCAAAAAAUGUGUGCAGCAAGGAUGAUUGUGACACAACAAAAAUAAAAGAAUCCUAAGAUACAAGACGCUCCAAGCAAAACACAUAUCAUGUGGUGAAUAAAAAUAUAGCUCCAAGUAAUGUUACCGAUGGAUUGAAGACGAAAGAGGGGAUGCCUUCCCGGGGCAUCCCCAAGCUUAGGCUUGUUGGUGUACUUGAAUUUGGCUUGCGAUGCCUUGGGCAUCCCCAAGCUUGAUCUCUUUCCACUCCUUAUCUCUUUGUCCAUAAGCACAUCACCCAAAACUUGAAAACUUCACAACACAAAACUUAAACAGAAACUCGUGAUAACAUUAGCACAAGAAAACAAACUACCACUUCUUUUGGUACUGUAACAAACUUGAAUUCCAUCUAUAUUGGUGUUGGGCUACUCUAUUCUCACUUUUCCAUGGCUAGUACCCCCCCCCCCCCGAUACUAACCAUAGUUUCAUCAAAACAAGCAACCAACUNNNNNNNNNNNNNNNNNNNNNNNNNNNNNNNNNNNNNNNNNNNNNNNNNNNNNNNNNNNNNNNNNNNNNNNNNNNNNNNNNNNNNNNNNNNNNNNNNNNNCUUCCGUUUGGACUCCGUUUCAAAAUCUCCUCUGAAAGGGGUCAAAAACAUGGAAAAACAGGAACUGGCACUUGGCACUGAGUUAAUAAGUUAGUCCCAAAAAAUAUAUAAAAGGCAUGCAAAACAUCCAAAGUUUGACAAGAUAAUAGCAUGAAACCAUCAAAAAUUAUAGAUACGUUGGAGACGUAUCAAGCAUCCCCAAGCUUAACUCCUGCUCGUCCUCGAGUAGGAAAGUGAUAAAGAACGAAUUUUUGAUGUGGAAUGCUACCUAGCAUAGUUGUCCUUUGUAACUUCUUUCAUGUGACAUGAAUGUUUAGAUCCGUAAGAUUCGAAACAAUAGUUUGCUAUUGACAUGAAAAUAGUAAUACUUCAAGCAAACUAGCAAAGUAAUCAUGAACUUUCAAAAUAACAAGGCCAAAGAAAGUUAUCCCUACAAAAUCAUAUAGUCUGGCUAUGCUCCAUCAUCCUCACAAAACUAAUGUAAAUCAUGCACAACCCCGGUAUUAGCCAAGUAAUUGUUUUUGCGCUCUUACUUUCUCAAACUUUUUUAUAACUAUCACACAAUACAUGAGCGCGAGCCAUGGAUAUAGCACUAUAGGUGGAAUAGAGUGUGGUGGUGGUUGUGAGACAAAAAGGGAGGAGAUAGUCACAUUGACUCGGCGUAUCAAUAGGCUAUGGAGAUGCCCAUUAAUAGAUAUCAAUGUGAAUGAGUAGGGAUUGCCAUACAAGAGAUGCACUAGAGCUAUAAGAAUGUGAAAGCUCAAAAGGAGAACUAGUGGGUGUGCAUCCAACUUGCUUGCUCACGAAGACCUAGGGCAAUUUUGAGGAAGCCCAUCACUGGAAUAUACAAGCCAAGUUAUAUAAUGAAUAUUCCCACUAGCAUAUGGUAGUGACAAAGCAAGAAGCUUUGAAUCAUGAAGAACAUGGUGUUAUAAUGAAGCACAAGUGUGGAAAAAGAUAGUAGCAUUGUCCCUUCUCUCUUUUUCGCUCCUUUUUCAUUUGGGCUCUUAGGCCUUUUUUGGGCUCUUUGGCCUCUCUUUUUUUAUUUUAUUUCCUCACAUGGGACAAUGCUCUAAUAAUGAUGAUCAUCACACUUUUAUUUACUCACAGCUCAAAGAUCACAAUGAUGAUGACUCCAUAGGAAAUGCCUCCGGCAGUGUACCGGGAUGUGCAACGAUCUAGCAUGGCGUAUGACGUUGAAACAUCUCGCUAGCUAUCUUACGAUCAUGCAAUGGCAAUAUGAGAGUGACGGCACAAGUCAUGAGACGGAACGGUGGGAGUUGCAUGGCAAUAUAUCUCGGAAUGGCUAUGAAAAUGCCAUAGUAGAUAUAUAUGGUGGCUGUUUUGAGGAAGGAAUUUGGUGGGUUUGUGCACCGGCGAGAAUUGCGCGGCACUAGAGAGGCUAGCAAUGGUGGAAGGUUAAAGUGCAUCUAUAGCAUGGACUCACAUUAGUCAUGAACAACUCACAUACUUGUUGUGAAAGUUUUAUUAGUAAUCGAAACAAAGUGCUAAACGCAUACUCCUAGGGGAAGGGUUGGUGGGUGUUAACCAUCGCGCGAUCCCGACCUCAACACAAAGGAUGACNNNNNNNNNNNNNNNNNNNNNNNNNNNNNNNNNNNNNNNNNNNNNNNNNNNNNNNNNNNNNNNNNNNNNNNNNNNNNNNNNNNNNNNNNNNNNNNNNNNNCCAUGAUCGGUUUGAUGAGAUCAAUACCCGUAAUGUUCAACAUAACAGUGUGUGUAUCACGCCUUUCAAUUUGAACUAAAACUCCGACACUUAUUUUGGAUUGGAGGUGUAGUAUUCUUACUGACUUCAUUGAUUUGCUUUGCUUUGUUUAGACAAGGAGGCCAAGAAGUCCUUUUAGAGCAUUGGCUGGUGGUAGAACUCAUGACGUUAACCAUGAUCGGUUUGAUGAGAUUAAUACCCAUUAUGUUCAACAUGACAGUGUGUGUAUCAUGCCUUUCCCCCUAUAUAUUAUGUAGUACUCUUACUGACUUUGUUGAUUUGGUUUGCUUUGUUUAGACUAGGAGGCCAGGAAGUCCUUUCAGAGCAUGGGCUGGUGGUAAAACUUAUGAUGUUAACCAUGGUUACCUACAAGGAACAAAAUCUGCAUUCUAUUAUCAUGAUUACGGAGCAGACUACAAGUAUGGGAGUACCAACAACUACAAUAGAUUUCCAGAAGAGACGAACACUUCCUAUUACAGCGCCAAUAACUACAGAAGUGUUCCAAGAAAAUCCCAUUUGUACUAUGAUGAGAAGAN